rnacentral:lncRNA from 1 species
GCUCGAGUUCCACAAUUUGGAAUCGUAGCUUGUCUCUCCAAUCCUAUCAAGGUCCUGUUUGCAUCCAACUAGUUGUUUCCAGGACCUAGGCUUUGAUAGUUAAAAUAAAAACCACUAUGGGUUUUGCUGGUUAUAGUUAUAGUUGGUUUCUGUUGUCAUUUUUCGCCCUAUUCCCAACACUAAGAGCUCACAUCGCUGAAUAUGAUGAGUAUUGGAAAGCACGAGAAUUGGAAGCCAUUGAGAACCUGAACAAGGCUUAUCACCCCAAUCCGGAGGAGGUGGUCCGGCAUUACAAUGACCACUUUGUCAAUACCAUGCUUGAGUAUAAUAACACCAGAAGGGUGUUGAAAGGAAAGAAAAACGGUCCCUGUGAGAUUACUAACCCAGUUGAUAGUUGUUGGCGAUGUGAUCCUAACUGGGUAAAGAACAGGAAGAGGUUGGCCGACUGUGCCCCUGGAUUUGCUCGUGGUACUACCGGUGGAAAGGACGGCAAGUUUUACGUGGUCACUGACCCUAGUGAUGAUAUUUCUAACCCCAAGCCUGGAACUUUGCGUCAUGCAGUCACUCAACUCAGGCCACUUUGGAUCACUUUCAAAAAAUCCAUGAUCAUCAAGCUGAAACAGGAGCUCAUCGUUACAAGCGACAAGACCAUUGAUGCAAGGGGAGCUAAUGUGCAUAUUUGCUAUGGUGCUGGUAUUACUGUCCAGUUUGCUAGGAAUGUCAUUAUCCAUGGCCUCCAUAUCCAUCACAUUAAACCCGCUACUGGUGGCAUCAUUAGGGAUGCUGAAAACCACAUUGGGUUAAGGACUGCCAGCGAUGGAGAUGCGAUCUCUCUUUUUGGAGCAACCAACAUUUGGCUUGACCAUCUUUCCCUUUAUGAUUCCUCUGAUGGUCUUAUCGAUGUUAUCCAGGGUUCCACUGCCAUUACCAUUUCAAACUGCCAUUUCACUGACCACAACGAGGUAAUCUUACUUUCUUUUCUAUUUGAAACUAAGCUCGAAAAGGUGUUUUUUUUAGUGACAAAACAAUAUAAUUGAAAUUAACAAAUUGUAGGUGCUAUUGUUUGGAGCAAGCGACACCUAUGUUGCUGACGAGAAGAUGCAGAUCACUGUUGCUUUGAACCGCUUCGGUAAAGGAUUGGUGGACAGGAUGCCUAGGUGUCGAUUAGGUUUUUUUCAUGUUGUCAACAAUGACUACACUCAUUGGUUCAUGUAUGCCAUUGGUGGCAGUAGCCACCCUACAAUUAUCAGCCAGGGCAACAGGUAUAUCGCGUCAAGCAUCUACGUAACUAAGCAAGUGACUAGUAGGGGCUACUUAUCACUGGAACAGUGGAAUAAAUGGAACUGGGUAUCACAGGGUGACCACUUCAUGAACGGUGCCUAUUUUAUUACAUCCGGUGAUCCGAAUGCUAGCAAGCUAUUCGGUGCUGAAAAAAUGAUGCCUUUCCAACCUGGUCGAUUAGUCCCCAAACUCACAAGGUAUGCCGGAACACUCCACUGCAGAAUUGGUCGCCCUUGUUAAAAACAUUAUUUUGAUAUGCAUACAUUCUCUCUUUUUGUUAUGUACAACAUUUUGAUACCCAUGCAUUGUACAUUUGGGAUUUAUUGGGAAUGAUUAUCAAGAAAUGUUAUUAUUUGAUUCCACCCUAUCUUUUUUUUCUACUUUUAAUAGAUAAUUAGAAAUCUUAUCACAUGUGUACAUGUGAAAACCAUAAUUUUAACCUGAGACAUAAACAAAGACAAGGAUAAUCUUUCUAUUCUAAAAAGAACUCUUGAAUGAAAAGAAACUAAUUUGAAAGAGAACUAUAAACAAAUAAAAAUAGAAGAUCUGUUUUGACUUGAAAUGGAUAUAUCCAUAUAUCUCUCACUUAUCUUUAUGAAAUGAUAGAAUAUGGAAAAACUUAUACCAAAAGUUGGUUCACGUAGGAAUGGGCGUAGUAGUGCACGGAAAAGUGCACGUAGAAUACGAAAGGAGUUAUUCGUGUUCAAGCAAGUUUUAACAAUAGUUUGAAACUAAUAAAUAAUAACACUAAUUAUAAUGGUGUUGAAAUAAAUUGUAAGUUGGUGUUGGCAUCAACCCAAUAAAAUACAUUAAUCAAAUAUAUCUAAUAUAUAUUCUAUUGCAAGGUUUUCUUGCAUUUUUGGAAACCUUAAGUUUUGAGUUUAGAAUUUGCCAUGUGUCACCAAUCAUUUUAAAGUUGUCUAAUUAACUAAAAUUUUUAACAUUCAUCAAUAAUCAUGGACUAAGACCAAUAAGUUUCUAUAAAUUUGGCAUGUCCCAACUUAUAUAUUCAGGUAUUAGGCUAUUUUGUAAAACACAUCAUUUUGAGAAAAGAAAGAAAGAAAAAUUAUGAGUGUUCUUGAUAUAGUAAUAUUCUUAUUGCUGCAAUGGUAAUGGUGAUUCCUCCCGAUGUACUUGCAUCACCAUAAACUAAACUUAGGUUUUUACUACAUCAUUUAAAAUGGACAGAUCAAGUAUAUAUAUAUGGUGGUGUAUGAGUUUGAUUGCUUUAAGGCUCAACGUGAUUUGAGAAUCCAACCAAGGCCCUUAAUAUUGUCGAAAGAUUUGUUCCAAGAAGUUCACUUGGCAGGUUUGAGCUUCCACAAAUGACGUGUUACUUUUACUAAUAUAGAGUCAAAUAUUGAAGCAAACAAACUUGCAAAGCCAACAGUACAUAGGAUUAAUAAUUUGGUGUCUUUGUUUUGUGUAAGUAAAUUGUUUAAUUCCACUUUUUAAUUUGCAGGUGCCAAUGAUUGAGUUCAAAUGAGUUUAUAUUUUAGUCUGUUCUACGACAUCAUUGCACUGUUGUUAUUGAGCCGCACUAUAACCUUAUUUGUAGUUAUAUCUACAUUAAAAAAUACUUUACUUUUUGACAAUAAUUUUUAUUGACCCAAAAUUACAAAUUUAGUUUAUUUUUAUAUUUUAAUUUUGAAGAUUUAUUUAUAUUAUAUUUUUUCUUUCACAAUUAUUUUUACCUCAAAAAUAUUAACAUGAUGUUAAGUUUUAUUUUGUAUAAAUGUAUAUUUAAUUAACUGAAAACAUGAUCAUUUUAUUGUAUUGUAACUUUUAAAUUUAAUAACAAUAAUUGCAUAAUUUCAAUAUUUGUGAUGAAAAUGUUUGAAAAUUCAUAAUAUCAAAUUUUAGGUAUACUAUGUUACUAAUUAUGAUAUAAAACUUAACUGACAAAAGUUGGAACCAAAAAUUUAUUCGGUAAAUGGAAUAAAAUAUUAUCACCAUCAUCAUCGAAAAUGGUAGUUUGUUCAAAAUAGUUAUUAAAUUGUUAUAGAUAUUAUUGACAACACUUUUGAACUUCUAAUCAGAAUUUAUAUUAUGAAAAUAAUUAAAUUAUUAGUAAAAUUAGUAAUAUGAAUAAAAAUUAUCAAUUAUAUCAAAUUAAUUGAUUUAAAAACUGAAAAAUAUUUUAAUUUUAAAAACUGAAAUUUUUUUGUUUAUAUACAUUUCUUUGAAGCUUCAUAUCUAAUCCUCAACUUGUAUAAUCAUAUUUAUGACUUUCUCCAUAAAUAAACAUAUUUAUAACAGUAAAGUAGUGUUUGAAAAGGCAUCUAGUAAUUGAAUUUGGGUGUAAUUAUCUGUAAUUACAAUAGAAUGACAUAUUUGGGUAACCAUUUUAAUCAACGUUAAAAUCAAGUUAAAAUGAUUUUAAUCAUUUUUUAAUCAAGUAAGAACCAUUUUAACUAGUCAAACUAUUUUUAAAAUAAGUCAGAAAAGCUCCAGGCAAAAACUAUUGAUACCUUUUGGCCAAGUAUCAAUAGUUUUCAAAAUAUCGAUACCCCUUUGAAAAACGAUAGCAAAUUGACUUUCUGUUUUUCACAAAUUUAGCUAAGUAUUGAUCUGGUAUCGAUACCUUUCAUAUGGUAUCAAUAUUUUUUUUAUAUCAAUAUUUAAGCUCCAGCGGUCACUGAAUUUUGCAUUUAAUGCAAAAAUUAUUGAUACCAUUUUAUCUAGUAUCGAUACGCACUGUUGUAGGUGAAUUAAAUGCACUGAUUUUCACAUCCCCAAUGGCUCUAUUCAUUUCUCCAACAACCACAAUGGUUGAAAAUUAAUUAAGGGUAUAAAUACCAGCUUGCAAAUAUCCUACAAAACCAAGAGAGAAUAUUCAAGCUUAAAGAUCAAUCAAACAACCUUUGUGCCAAAAUUUUCUAUACUUUUCUUUCAUUCACUUGUGAGUUUCAUUAUUAUUUCACCAGCGAAAAUUUUCUUCUUUGUAAUUGAGCUUAAUUUGCAAACACAUUAAUCUUGUAAGGAUAAUUUCUUUUUUUCUUUUUUGUUUCUUUGUACCUCUUUGAGGGGGUUCGUGUCUUAUGGUUUGGGGUAGAAACCUUAAGAGAGUUUGUAAGGUUAAACCUUUCCUGAAAGGUUAUCAAAUUAGUGAAUUUAGGAAAAUCCUUUGUUGUGGAAAGCUAAGGUAGUGGAGUAGACAAUUGGGGCCUAACCACUAUAAAUCGAAGUGUUUAUUGUCUCUAUAUUUUUCUUAGCAACCACAAAUUUUUAAGAGGCCAAUUCACGCCCCUCUUGGUGAUUUCAAGUUGAACUAUCGAGCUAACAAUUUGUAUCAAAUUUAGUCUAUGUUAGAUGGUUUAACAACCAAAGAGUAGAUUCCUUAGGAAUCUUAAUAAUCAUCAACUCAAUUCCUACAAUGACGUUUACUUCCGACUCAAAUAUUCUUGGUGAGUCUCAAUAUAUGUCCAAGCCUCCUUAUUUCAAUGGUUCCAAUUAUUCAUAUUGGAAGACAAGGAUGAUGCUAUUCAUCUAAGCAAAUGAUCUUGUGGUUUGGAACAUUAUCAUGGAUGACCCUUUAAUAGCAAGAAGGAGAGCUCUUAGUUCCAAAGUGUAAGAAAGAAUGGAAUAAAGAAGAUAGAAGGAGUAUUCAACUCAACGCCAAGGCCAUGCACACUCUCAUUUGUGCACCUAGUUCGGAUAAGUAUUGUAAAGUACCGUUAUGUUCGAAUGCCAAUGAGAUAUGGGAUAAACUUGAGGUAACUCAUGAGGGAACUAGCCAAAUGAAUAAGUUAAAGGUGGGAAUCCUUACUCUCAAUUACGAGAUCUUUAAGAUGAAGCCCGAGGAGGACAUCAAAACAGUGUUUGAUAGAUUCAACAUCAUCAUUAACGGACUAAAAUCCUACGAGAAGACCUAUCUCAAUAAAGAAGUUGUGAGAAAGAUGCUUCGAAGCUUGCCGAAAUCAUGAGAAGCCAAAGUGACCAUUAUUGAAGAGGCAAAGAAUUUAGAAAUGUUGACCUUGGAUGAGCUCAUUGGUUCUUUUCCUACAUAUGAGAUGGAGAUCAAUUAAGGGGUAGUAGAAGAUAAGAAUGAGAGGAAGAAGGUUGGUGUUGCUCUCAAAUCCACUACCAUUGAAGAUAGUGAAUCAAGUGAAGAGGUGGAUGAGGACAAAGAAAUGACCAUGUUUGUUAGGAGAUUCAAGAAGUUUAUGAGGUCCAAUAGAAGGAGAAAAUUCUAAAACAAGGAAGGAAUCAAACUUGAAUCUACCAAAGAGAAGGACCCUAUCAUAUGUUAUGAAUGCAAUAAGUUGGGACACAUCAAGUUUGAUUGUCCCUAAUAGAAGGAAAAGGGGUCAAGAAAAAAAACGUUGAAGACUCUUGUUGCUACUUGAACUGAUGAGAAUUCAUUUGGUAAUGAAGAAAAAGAAGUAGCCAACCUUUUCCUUAUGGCCAUUGAUGAUCCUAAGGUAAUUUCUAACUCACCUAUUUCAAAUUCUUAUUCUUUUGAUCAGUUGCAAGAUGUCUAUGAUAAAUUAGGCAUGGAGUUUGAAUUAAUGAUUUCAAAAUAUAGUAAAACUAUUUCAAAACUAAAAGAUGAAAGUAAUUCACUCUCUAAAGUCAAGCAUUAACUUGAAAGUAAUAUAAAUGAUUUUGAGAAAAAGAAUAGUGACUUGCAUAAUUUACUUUCUACAUUUCAUGAGGAUCAUCAAAAGCAACUUGAGUUGCUUAAGAGUGAAAAAGCUCACUCUAACAAAGUUUUACCAAAAAGAUUUCUAAGAGGAGAAAGCUCAAACCAAAACUUUAUUAAAACUAGUUUUAAUUUCUAUAAACAUAGAGGUCCCCCAAGUUUUUAGAAAGGAAAAAUUAUUAAAAGUGUGUGGGUCCCUAAAUGACUCAUAAGUACUCAAUAUAAGGACAUCUUUUCAAAAUGGAUACCUAAAAGGACUAGAAUUAUAGGAACUAAUGCUUAUGGACCCAAAAGAAUUUUGGUACCAAAAAUUAAAGUUUGAUACAAUUGUAAACCAACCAAAAAUUUGACUAAGGUAAGUACACCUAUCAGUUAAUAAUAUAGCUACGGUGAGCAAAGAUAUUGUUCCCACGAAGACUAAAAGUAUCAGUAAUUACCGUGUUUCUAUUAUUUAAUAGAUAAAUUCGAGUGAUUGAUUAAAACUAAAAUUAACUAAAUUAAUUAACUACGAACGCGACAAAGGAAAAAUCAAGAAAAUAAUUGAAUAAUAACUAAAAAGUGAAACAAUAUCUAGGAAAGAAUUCACCUAGACUUCAACUGUCGCUAUUAAUCUAAAUUAUGCAAUUUUUUCACUAAGUAUCUUAAUAAAUAGAAAUCCCUAAAUUAUGGUAAUAUCUCUUUUCAAAGUAAGAGGAACUGACUCUAGGUUGAUUAAUUGAAAUUCCUUUGUAUUUGAAACCUAUAUUAUAGUAUUAACUCGAUCUAUGGAUUCCAGUAUUAGAUUUGACUCUAAUCCAAUAGAUUUAUGUCAUCUUAUUUCUAAGAUUGAAUGCAACUCCACUCAAUUACGUAAGAUCUACUCAUAAACAGGGUCUAUUCCUCCUCUAAUUUAAGCACAUCACAUGGCUCAAUAGUCUAGAAAUAUUAAACCAAGAAUUAAACAUACAUAAUUGAGAAUAAGAUCUAAGUAUUUAUUGCGUAAAAUAAAAAUCAAAAGACAAAAUUCAUCAUAGUGUUCCUCUCCCUAGGUAUUUAGAAAAUUAGUCCAUGCUUGUAAAUAAAAACAUCCAAAAUGUAGUAUAACCAUAAAAAGCAAAGAAACUUAUAAUAAUAUCCAAAGAAAUCAAAAGGGAAUCUGGUUCAAAAUUGGCUUCAAUGGUGUCUUCCAAGUUGUUUUCUUAAGUAUUCUAUGACGGCUCACUCCUGUCUUAUUAUUUUUGUCCUAUAUAGGUCCUAGAAUGCCCAAAAAAACCUUAAAAAUUGCUUUUGUCUGCUGUUCAGAAUGCAAUUCGUGAAAUCGACACGACCUACCACAUGGUCGUGUGGCAGCACUGUGGCUCACAUGACCAUGUGUCUAGGUCGUGUGGCCCUUGUGCCUUUCUCCGAUUUUUUAGUUUUCAUUUUUUUUGCCAUUUUUUCUCUCAAAUGCUCUCCUAAGUAUAAAAACAUGAAUUUAAAGGAUUAGGAGCAUAAAAUUUACCAUUAACAUCGAAUAAUCAUCCAAAAGCACAUUAAGAAUAAGGUUAAAAUAUGUUACUUUUAGCACCUAUCAAAGUUUAAUUCUAUGUUUGUAGGAAGAGGAGUAUUGAUUCAAGGUGGGCAAUUCAAGCAAAAUAUCAUGGUACCUUGAUAGUGGAUGAUCAAAGCAUAUGAUUGGUCUAACACCCUAGUUCUAGCCAGUUUAAAGUUUUGGCGCAUAGUAGUAAAAAGAUUAUCUAGCAUAGUGUAAUUCGCCCAAAUGAUUAUUUAUCGUAUACGUGUGGGUGUAUAGUAACUACUACGAAAGAAAGUAAGAAUUUGAUUUCCUGAUCUUCUACCAUAUAUUAAGGAGAAGUCUGUGCUAAGUGGUUAACAUUAUUUUCGCGUGAGAAAUGAUAUGUAAAUUAUGCAAGUAUACACGUCGAAACAAGUAAUAAAGUGAUAAGUGAGAUCAUCUCUAUAGGGAUUGGUUAGGUAUAAAAUGAUUGAGUGAUUAUAAUGAUGUAUGAUUAAUAUUAUGAUGAAAAUAAUGAUAAGAAUGUAACAUUAUUUUGAAGGAAUAAUGAUGUGUUGUAAUAUGAAUAACUGAUAAAUAAUGGAAAUUUGCUAUGACAAAACAAGAAGAAGAAUGUAAUGGCAAAUUCGAGAAUAAUCACGUGAAUAAUAAGUAAGUGAACAAGUAAACAACUAAAAAUGCUAUGGAGAAGAUACUAAUGCAAAGGAUACAAGAUCUACAAUAAUGAUUUAGAAGGUCGAGAUUAUUAAGAAUCUACCCUUACUGACAUUAAUGCACUGACAGAACCAUACUCAAUCUACUGCUCAAAAGAGUUCUAAGAUUGUCUGUUUCUUUCGAGAAUAAGACCUCAAGUUACCUUGCCAUAAGAAAUAUAUGUCUAUAGGCCAUUAGUUUGGUACCCUGCACUAUUUUGUUUUCUUUCCAUAUGAAUGCUGCUCUGUGUCUAGAGGCUGCUACAAGUCUUCAGUCAAAGACUCGCUCAUAUCAUUCAAUUUCAAUCUUAUUAACCUAACAUUGUCAAAAUUAGAUUAAUUUAAUGAACAUGUUGUACAUCCAUAUAUGUCUAGAGUUUGCAAACAUGCAAUUUCAUAAAGAACCAUUGAAUGAAAUAGUGUAUUAAAUCAUAUCUAAGCUUCAGUCAUUAAAGAAAAUAAGAGUUUCAUCAAGUAAUCCCAACCCUAUGAGAUUUAGCUCAUGGAUUGGCACUUAAAAUUCAAAUCCAAAGUAUCAUUCAACAUCAUUUUAACAAAUCAAUUUAUAAAGAGCAAUCAAGAAAUAAUGGAAGAACUUCGAGAGGAUAACUUUCACUUAUCUAGCCUACACUACAGCGAUACAAUGUCCUUGGUGGCUGAGAGCGGCUACCUUCAUCUUUCUCUUCUCGACUUUGCUCAACUACUACCCUCUAUUUUUUCUUAAGGAUCUCUCUUUUUUGUUGUUUGCCCCUCUUUAGGGUUUCCUCCUUUGGCUUUUUAUAACCUUUAUCCCUAGGGUAAAUCCAACAGCCCAUGAUUUUCUUCCCUCUUUUUUAGGUAGAUUUUUUUGGUACAAGUAUAGUUGGGCUGAAACUGGUAUGCUUAGAGUAUUGACUUAGUCUUCUUCUUUGAAUUGCCACGGCAUCCAUGUUAACAAACUUUCCACACAUUUGUCCCGACAAACCUUCACUUCUUGUUCUUUAUCCUGCACCUGCCAAUCCACCACCACACACAACCCUUCCACAAGCAAUUAAGAAUAACUAACAUUUAAGUAUAGUCUAAGCUCCUAAUAUAAUGUUAAAACAAAAAAAAUACUAAUGAAAUGUCCUAAAAUGCAACUAAAUGUACCUAAGUACAGACAAUUAGCUAGAUCCAAAAACAUGAAAUAUUUUUCAAGAGUUAUCGAGUAUGUAAUAGAUUGCCUGACAAAGUCCUGGUAUUUAGUUACUGUUUAAUGAGAUAACAACCUGUGAAGAGAGGAAUUCGAAAGGAGUGCUCGUAAAAGGUGUAGUACCCCUGUUAUUAGAGUAAUGACUGCCUCCGGAUGUAUGAACGUCCAGAGUGUGAAUACUGCAAUAAAAUAUAGAACAACAAGGCGGUGUCCGCAAGUAUACGGGUUGAGUUGUAAUAUAGGUUUACAACAAAGUAAGUGAAUGCUCUGAGGAUCGUACGCAAGGUAGGUUAGUGCUAGAUCAAUUCUUACCUAAAAAAGAAAAGAUCUAAUUAUUACUUUGAAUAAAUUAUAGUACGAGAACAUAAAAGAAAGUUUUUUAAAGCUAUUAGAGUAAUAAAAAAACUAACAUAAAAUAAAUCAAAUUCAAGAGAUACAAGAGUAGAGUAAAUCAAAUCUUGAUUAUGGGUGAUUAGCUCACUUCGAUAAUCCCCAUCAACUGUUACUGUUAAAGUUUGUAACCCAAAUUCUAAGAGAUUGCUUGCAAGUCAAGUUAAACAAAAUAUAUCUUCUUUCUAGAAGAAUUAGUAUUUAUGCAUAUAAUAUAUUUAGCAUUUAUUAACAUAAUAUAUUUGACUUUGAUUAGAAUUUGGUUUUUCAACCUAUAAAUAGCUGUAGUCGAAACUCCUUUUGUAAUCAAUCGAAUUCAACAUAGUGAAUUUUCUUCUCCUCUACCCUUGGUUUUUUUCCGAAAGGGUUUCCACAUAAAAAUCUAUGUUCUUUAUUUUUAUUUCUCUUUUCUUUGUGAUAUAUUAUCAUUACCAACAUCGAGCUUCCGGGUUUUUCAUCUCGAUCAUGGUAAUGGCAUCUUUGAAGUAUGAAAUUCUGCUAUUGGAUUGCAACACUAGAUUUGCGUUGUGGCAAAUUAAGAUGUAAGCAAUUCUUGUGCAGAUGGAUCUAGAGGAUGCCCUGCUAAGAAUAGAUAAGAUGCCUUCGACAUUAAUGGGUGAAGAGAAGAAGCGUAAGGAUCAAAAGGCGUUAACACAAUUACAUUUACAUUUUUCUAACAAAAUUUUACAGGAUGCGAUGAAGGAGAAGACCGCCAUUGUAUUAUGGAAUAGGUUCGAACAAAUAUGCAUGUCGAAAACUCUAAGCAGCAAGUUGCAUAUGAAGCAGCAUCUUUAUACUCAUCGUUUGGAGGAAGAUGCGUAUGUGCACGAACACUUAACAGUGUUUAAAGAAAUUCUCUCAAACUUGGAGGCCAUAGAGGUUCAAUAUGAUAAGGAAGAUCUAGGGUUGAUUCUACUUUGUUCAUUGCCCCUGUCUUAUCCAACCUGUAGAGACACAAUUUUAUAUAGGCGCGAGUCUCUAACAACUAAUGAGGUUUAUGAUUCUUUAACCUUGUAUGAUAAGAUGAAACAUCUUGUGGUUAAACCCAAAUCUAAGGGCAAGGGUUUUAUUGUUCGUGGGAGGUAAGAUCAAAAUGCUGAUGAUGAUCGUGGAAGAACAUAGGAACGAAAUCCUUGCGGUAAAUCUUAGGGUAUAUCGAAGUCUUCAAACAGAGGUAAAACUUAUAAAUUCUGUAAGAAGAAAGGGCACAUUAAAUCUGAAUGCUAUAAGCUAUAGAACAAGAUCGAAAAGGAGGCUGCGAAUCAAAAGGGAAAACAACAAAAAAAUUCCAGUGAAUCUGAUGUUGUAGAAGACUACAACUAUGGUAAACUUCUAGUCGCUUCUGUCAACAAUUCUAAAGUGAGCAAGGAGUCGAUCCUUGAUUCGAGCUGCACCUUCCACAUGAGUCCUAAUCAAGAUUGGUUUACAACUUACGAAACAGUGUCUAAUGGUGUUGUUUUGAUGGGAAAUAAUGCUUCAUGUAAAAUUACAGGUGUUGGAACGAUUAAAGUUAAGAUAUUUGACGGAGUUGUCAGGACACUUAGAGACGUGCGACAUGUUCCAGAAUUGAAGAGAAAUUUAAUUUCGUCUAGUACUCUUGAUUCAAAAGGGUACAGAUACACAGCUGAAAGUGGGGUUUUGAAGAUUUCCAAAGGUUCCCUGGUUGUGAUGAAAGGGCAGAGAAAGACUUCCAAGUUAUAUAUUUUGCAAGGUUCUACUGUUACUAGUGAUGCAGCUGUCGCUUCCACUUCCUUGUCAGAUGAUGAUAUUACUAAACUUUGGCAUAUACGCCUAGGGCAUAUGAGUGAGAAUGGCAUGGAGGAAUUGAGCAAAAGAGAACUUCUUGAUGGGCAAGAAAUUUGCAAACUAAAGUUCUAUGAGCACUGCAUUUUUGGGAAGCAAAAGAUAGUUUGAUUCACUAGAGGAAUCCAUAACACGAAAGGAAUGUUGGAGUAUAUUCAUUCUGAUCUGUGGGGGCCAUCCAAAGUGCCUUCGAGAGGUGGAGCUAAUUAUAUGCUAACUUUUAUUGAUGAUUUUUCCAGAAAAGUUUGGGCGUUCUUCUUGAAGCAGAAAAACAAUGUGUCUUCUGCAUUUAAGUCUUGGAAAACUAUGAUUUAAAAACAUAAAGGAAAACAAAUAAAAUACCUCCACAUAGAAAAUGGCUUAGAGUUCUGUUCUGGUGAGUUUAAUAAAUUGUGCAUGUCAGAAGGGAUCGUGAGAUACUUGACAGUUCGUCAUACUCCACAGCAAAACAACAUUGCAGAACGAAUAAACAGAACGAUCAUGAAGAAGGUUCGAUGUAUGUUGUCAAAUUCCAACUUACCAAAGUCGUUUUGGGCCGAAGCAGCGUCUAUUGCAUGUUUUUUAAUCAACUGAUCUCCAUCCGUUUCUAUUGAGAAAAAGACUCCACAAGAGGUAUGGUUUGGUAAUCUUACUGACUAUUCUGAUUUAAAGAUCUUUGGGUGUCCUGCGUAUGCUCAUGUUGAUAAUGGAAAAUUGGAACCGAGAUCCAUUAAAUGUGUUUUUCUUGGUUAUAAAGCUGAUGUGACAGCCCAAAAUUGACCCUAGUCGGGAAGUGGUUUCGGGACCGCUAAACCGAGUCACCGAAAUGUUUGAAUGUGAUAUUUAUUGUCUAGAAUAUGUAAUUAUGAAUGUGUGAAAAUUUCAAGCUUCGAUUUAGUCGAUUGCAUGUGAAUUUAGUCAAUAGGACUUAUGUUCGACAUUUUUGAAAUGUGAUAGGUCGAAGCAUAAGGACCUAUUAGUGCAUGAAAUAAAAAGGGGGGACUUGUAUGUCAAAUUCCCCCCUAAUUAGUAGUGGCCGGCCAUGACAAGCAUGGUAGACCAAGUGUGAUGGGCAAGACAUGUCAUAGACAUGUUGUGUUGGUGCAUCAUGGGUGGAAAAAAUUAAAAUAAGGAGCAUGGGCAUAAAAUAAUGAAAGGGAAUAUGAUGAAAACAAAAAAAAAGUGUGUGGUUGUUUCCCCCCCCAUUGCCGUGAGUUAAAGAAAAGAAAAGAGAAAAUUUUGUUCAUCCUUUUUCAUCUUCAUUUGGCCGAAAAUUCAAAGGAAGGAGGAAGGAGUUCUUGCUUCAUGUUUGGUUUGGAAGAGGAUUAGGAGGAGGUUUGGCCAUACUUGUAUCUAGAUCAAGGUAUGUUUGAGGUUGUGCCAUGAGAUUCAUGCAUGUUUUUAGUUGCUAGCUUGAGUUCUAAUUAGCCCAUGGUUCAAAUCUUUGCUAUGUCAUGGGGAUGAUAUUCGGCCUAGGUAGAUUUUGUGUUAAUGCCAUUGCAUGCUAAAUAUGAAGCUUGUUAAUGAUGCAUGUGAUGGUGGAUUGAUGAUUCUUGAAUCUUCUUUUUAGCAUUUUUGAGUGAGCACAUAUGUGCAUUGGUUGCUAGAUGGAGAAGAAUCGGCUAGCAAGUUGUGUGCUAAGGCCGAAUAUAAUUUUUGUAUAUUAAUGAGUAAUGCAUGUGUUAAAUUGAUGGAAAGGGAGAGGAUGCUUUACUAGUGUAUAUAUGUGUGUAUUAGCCAAGUUUUGAACUUGAAACAAAAGGGUGUUUAGUCAAUACAAGUGACCAUACUUGUAGAAUGUAUUAAGUGUUGAAAUCGGCCCCAACAUAGACAUGCAUAUUCGGCCAUAGGAAGGAGAUUGGUGUUGCAUGUAUUCGGUUAGAGGCAAGCAUAUUGAUGCUUUUGUCUUGGCUUAGAAAAUUCGGCCAAGGGGGAAAAAUUAGCUAAAAUGUUGAGUUUGAUUCAUGAUUCCGUACAUAUGUGACUUUAAUGUCUAAUGUAUAAAUAUGGGCUAAGUGCCUUGUGUUCCUCUUUUCGAUGCUCAAAUGAUUAAAUCAAUUUAUUUGUUUAAUUAAGCUCAAGAGCAAAGGGGAACUAAAUCCGAUAAAGGGAAGGAAAAAGUGGUCGAAUAGCUAUCGGAAUCGUUCGACAACACCCGAGGUAAGUUCUUGAGUAAAAGAGCUUAAAUUAUGAUUUGAUUAGAUCAUGUUUUAUGCAAAUCAAAAUCAUGCUCUUUGUGUGUGGCUAUUGAGCCGAAAUUGCAAGAAUGAUAAGUGCCUUGUGUUCGAGUUUUUCUAACGAAAAUGAAAUACGAAUGUGCCAUGAUUUAUUGUUAAAUGUGCAUGGUUAUUUGAAUGAUGUCCGGGCUAAGUCCCGAAGGCUUUGUGCUAAGUGACCAUAUCCGGACUAAGAUCCGAAGGCAUUUGUGCGAGAUACUAAUUCCGGGCUAAGCCCGAAGGCAUUUGUGCGAGUUACUAAAUCCGGGUUAAGUCCCGAAGGCAAUUGUGCGAGUUACUAUAACCGGGCUAUGUCCCGAAGGCAUUUGAACGAGUAGCUAUAUCCGGUUAAAUUCUGAAGGUACGUGAUUUGGGAAUGAAUGAUCUUGCUGUAAAAAUUUCAGUAAAUACUCUAGAAACAUCCCAACAUUGAGGUAUGUUUCGUAUGUGCUUGAAUUUAGUUGAGCCCUUACAAAUAAGUAUUCGCUCAGUUGAUAAACGAGCUACCGACCUUUGGCUAAGUUGAUCUUUUGUGUAUGUACAUAAGGGUUGGUAUUGUGAAGCAAGUAUGAUAUCGAAAAUUUGUGCAUAUGAAAUUAUCCGUUUAGCUAUAUGAAUGCUAUACUUUUGCUGUGCUGGAAUUCCUUGCUCAAAACUUACUAAGCAUAAAUUGCUUACUCCGUUUCUUUGAUCCUCUGUUUUAUAGAUUUUGGUUCUCCAGCUAUCGGACUCGGGAUUUUGAAGUCGAAGUUGCCCACACUAUCAAAGCCCCCCCCUUUUGGUACAAUUUUGGUUGAACUUCGAAAUGGCAUGUAUAGGACUACCCUUUUUGUUGGGGGUCAUGGACCCUUUGGACUUGUAUAAUUUUGGAUAGCCAUGCGAAAAUGGCUUAUAUAUGUUUGAGUAUAAUGUUAUAAUCAUUUGGUAUGGAUAUGGUUAUUGAGAGGUGUGGAUAUGCUUAACAAGGAUUGGCCAUGGGAAUGGUUAAUCACUAUCAUAAUUUGUGCUAUUUAUGCUAAAAGGGCUAGUUGAAUCAUGGAAACUAUGAAAUAUGUAAAGUCUACCUUAAAGGCAGAUGCUGACAGCAACAGUGAUGUAGAUUUGGAAAAUCACUAAAAAUAGUAGGAAUGGAAUUAAAUAGUGAAUAAAUUAUGUAAAAGAACCUUGAUGAAUUUAUUUUCAUAGGAAAGUAACGAAACAAUCAUAUGGAGAGUAUGUUAAGAGAUAUUCAGGUUCUCGUGAGACAGGGCCAGAACGGUUUCUGGAUUUCCUGUUCCGACUUUGGAAAUUCAUUACAAAUUAACCAGAGACAAUUAGGAGUCAAGCCAUAUAUGUAUAGAUUCCUCUCUAAGUCUAGUUUCUAUAGAAACAAACGGCAUCAGUAUUGAAGCCCUGUACAGAGAGAUAUCCAAGUUGUAAUGCGCAAAGGUCAGUGUAGUCGAUCCCUGUAACAUGGGAGACUUUGACUAAUAAACUGUACUAAUUGGCCCAACCAAAAAUUCUAGAAAAAAAAUAUGUAGAUGGAAAUAUGAGUCUAGUUUCAGGGAAAAUUUACGGAACUGGAUUCCGAGUUUCUGAACUCAAGAUAUGAUUUUUAAAGCGACUAGUAUGCAGAUUGGCAGUGUCUGGAAAAUUUUUUUAAAGUCUGUAUCAGAGCUACGGUUUAGUCGAUUCUAGGACUACCGUAAUGCGUUGGGUCUAGCUAUACAUGCCAUUUUAUUUGAUUAUUUGAUAGUGUGGUGAUUUCUGACAUUUGCAAAUGUGUUUAUUUAUAGUAAUGGAUCCCGAUCCCGACCGAGCGGUAGCUGAUGAUCUUGAGAGUGUAGCGCCUGCUCCCGUACAAGGGACAACGCCAGUGGACUCUCAACCUAAUGCUAGUAACCCGAAUGAUGAAGCUAGACAAGCUUUCUAUAGCGUGAUGAAUGAUUGGUUCAACCAAUACAUUCGAACUAAUACGGCUGUUCCACAACCUCCCUUCCCGACUAAUACAACCCCCGCACCUACAAUACCUCUGGUAACUGACCAAAUAAGGUCAAAUAAGCCUCCAGUUGACAGAAUCUGAAAACAUGGGGCUACUGAAUUUAAAGCUACGGAUAGCGACGAUGCCGAGCAAGCUGAAUUUUGGUUGGACAACACUAUCCGGGUACUCGAUGAGCUAUCUUGUACACCCGAUGAAUGCCUAAAGUGUACUAUCUCCUUGCUACGUGAUUCUGCCUACUAUUGGUGGAGUACUCUGACUUCUAUUGUGCCCCGAGAGCAAGUAACUUGGGAGUUUUUCCAAACUGAGUUUCGGAAAAAGUAUAUCAGUCAGAGAUUUGUUGAUCAAAAACGGAAGGAAUUUCUUGAGCUUAAGCAAGGUUCCAUGUCGGUUACUGAUUACGAGCGAAAAUUUGUUAGACUUAGCAAAUACGCUCGGGAAUGUGUUUCGUCCGAGGCUAUCAUGUGUAAACGCUUCGAGGAUGGGCUGAAUGAAGAUAUAAAAAUGUUCGUUGGUAUUCUUGAAAUACGAGAGUUCGUAGUACUUGUCGAGCGAGCUUGUAAAGCCGAAGAGCUUAGAAAAGAAAAACAAAAAGUUGAUGUGGGAACUGGAGAGUUUCGUAAAAGAUCCUCGAGAAAGUCUCUUCAACAGGCAUCGAAGAAAUUUCGAGAUGAUGUGGGCCGGUCUAGAGGCACUUCGGGCCUUUUUAGACGAGAUCGUGAUCGACCCCCUAUGGGUACACGAGGCACUUCGGUCGCCAGUGUUGGGAAUGAACGUCGAGACAGAACGAAAUGUCGAUAUUGCGGUAAAUGGCAUUCGGGGAGUUGUAGAUUCCCUGACCGCUCCUGUUACAAGUGCGGAUCAGUUGACCACUUCAUUAAAGAUUGCCCGAGGUUGUCUGAACAGAAUGUAAAUCAGAGUGGGAAACCGGGUGCUACCACUGCUUGAGGUAGACCAUCUGGAAAUACGGGCAAUGCUAGUGGUGGUCAGAGAGGAUCUAGAGAUGCUACGACCAGAUCCGAGGCUCGUGCGCCUGCUAGAGCUUAUGCUAUACGUGCCCGCGAGGAUGCUUCUUCGCCUGAUGUUAUUACCGGUACUUUUACUCUCUUUGAUACUAAUGUAAUUGCUUUGAUUGACCCCGAUUCUACUCAUUCUUACAUAUGUGAAACCUUAGCAUCCAGUAAGACUUUACCUAUUGAGUCUACUGAGUUCGUAAUUCGGGUGUCAAAUCCCUUGGGUCGUUACGUGCUUGUCGACAAAGUGUGUAAGGAAUGUCCCCUAGUAAUUCGAGGUUCCUGUUUUCUGGCGGACUUGAUGCUUUUUCCAUUUGAUGAAUUUGAUGUUAUUCUUGGUUUGGAUUGGCUGACCGUGCAUGAUGCAGUUGUGAACUGCAAAAGCAAGACUAUUAAUUUGAGGUGCGCAAAUAACGAGAUAAUCCGAGUUGAGUCUACGGACUUAAAGGGGUUGCCAGCUGUAAUAUCCUCAAUGUUGGCCCAGAAAUAUGUAAGAAAAGGGUGCGAAGCAUACCUUGCGUAUGUACUUGAUGACAAAGAAUUAGAAAAGAAACCCGAAUCUGUGCCGGUGGUUUGUGAAUACCCGGAUGUUUUUCCUGAAGAAUUACCGGGUUUACCACCUGUUCGGGAGAUAGAGUUUGGUAUUGAGCUUGUACCUGGGACUACGCCAAUUUCGAUAGCUCCGUAUCGUAUGGCACCAACCGAGUUAAAAGAGUUGAAAGCUCAGUUGCAAGAAUUGACAGAUAGAGGUUUCGCUCGACCAAGUUUCUCACCUUGGGGUGCACCAGUAUUGUUCGUGAAAAAGAAGGACAGAACCAUGAGGUUGUGCAUUGACUAUCGUCAACUGAAUAAAGUGACGAUAAAGAAUAAAUAUCCGUUACCGCGUAUUGAUGAUUUGUUUGAUCAACUAAAAGAAGCCUCAGUGUUCUCAAAAAUAGAUUUGAGAUCGGGCUAUUAUCAGUUGCGAAUUCGAGAUUCGGACAUACCCAAAACUGCCUUCAGAACGAGAUAUGGUCACUACGAAUUCUUAGUGAUGCCGUUUGGGCUCACUAAUGCCCCUACGGUAUUUAUGGAUUUGAUGAAUCGGAUCUUCAGACCAUAUUUGGAUCGGUUCGUAGUUGUGUUCAUUGAUGACAUCUUGGUCUAUUCAAGAGAUAAGACCGAACAUGCUGAGCACCUGAGACUAGUGUUGCAAAUUUUGCGGGAUAAGCAGUUAUAUGCAAAGUUCAGUAAGUGUGAGUUCUGGUUAAGAGAGGUUAGCUUCUUGGGUCAUGUGGUAUCCGCAUCGAGUAUUCGAGUUGACCCGGACAAAAUUUCAGCCAUACUUAACUGGAAACCUCCGAGAAAUAUUACUGAGGUUCGGAGCUUUUUGGGACUCGCCGGUUAUUACCGACGAUUUGUCAAAGGUUUCUCGAUGAUAGCCACACCAAUAACGAAGCUACUUCAAAAGGAUGUUAAGUUCGAAUGGAUGGAGAAAUGUCAGAAAAGUUUCGAUCAACUGAAAACUUAUUUGACUGAAGCUUCAAUUUUAGUGCAACCCGAAUCAGGCAAAGAGUUUGUCAUUUAUAGUGACGCAUCCCUACUUGGGUUGGGUUGCGUAUUGAUGCAAGAAGGUCGAGUGGUGGCCUAUGCGUCGAGACAAUUAAAGCCACAUGAGAAAAAUUAUCCGACCCAUGAUCUCGAACUAGCUGCCAUCGUAUUCGCUUUAAAAAUAUGGCGACAUUACUUAUUUGGUGAAAAGUGCCAUGUAUUUUCGGAUCACAAAAGUCUCAAAUAUUUGAUGACUCAAAGAGACUUAAAUCUGCGACAAAGACGUUGGCUUGAGUUGUUGAAAGAUUACGAGUUUGUCAUUGAUUACCACCCGGGAAAGGCUAAUGUGGUUGCGGACGCCUUAAGCCGGAAAUCACUGUUUGCUUUAUGAGCGAUGAAUGUGCACUUGUCUGUUCUACCCGACAAUGUGUUAGUAGCUGAAUUAAAGGCCAAACCAUUAUUGAUUCGUCAAAUUCGUGAAGCUCAGAAAGUCGACGAUGAAUUGGUUGCAAAACGGGCUGAAUGUGUUUCGAAUAUGGAAUCCGAAUUUCAAAUUGGUGAUGACGAUUGUUUGAGGUUCAGAAGUCGGUUGUGUGCUCCAAGAAAUUCAGAACUCAUUUCGAUGAUUCUGAACGAAGCCCAUUGUAGCCGAAUGUCAAUUCACCCGGGGAGUACGAAAAUGUACAACGAUUUGAAACGUUGGUUUUGGUGGCAUGGUAUGAAACGAGACAUCUCCGACUUUGUUUCGAGAUGUUUAAUAUGUCAACAAGUGAAAGCGGAACAUCAAGUGCCUUCAGGAUUACUUCAGCCGAUCAUGAUACCUGAGUGGAAAUGGGAUCGAGUCACAAUGGACUUUGUGCCCGGACUGCCAUUGUCAGCAAGUAAGAAAGAUGCGAUUUGGGUUGUUGUCGAUAGACUGACUAAUUCGGCUCACUUUAUCCCCGUGCGUAUGGAUUUUUCAUUGGAUAAACUAGCUGAAUUGUACGUUUCUCAGAUUGUGAGAUUACACGGGGUACCUAUUUCUAUCGUGUCGGAUAGAGAUCCGAGAUUCACCUCACGAUUUUGGAGGAAAUUGCAAGAAGCUUUGGGUACCAAGCUGUAUUUUAGCACUGCUUUUCACCCCCAAACCGAUGGUCAAUCUGAGCGGAUAAUUCAGAUACUUGAGGAUAUGUUGAGAUGUUGCAUCCUCGAGUUCAGUAGUUCAUGGGAACGGUAUUUACCUUUGAUUGAAUUCGCUUACAACAAUAGUUUUCAAUCAAGUAUUAAGAUGGCACCUUACGAGGCUUUGUACGGUCGUAAAUGCCAUACACCAUUGUUUUGGACCGAGCUCGGUGAAAGUAAAAUUUUCGGAGUUGAUUUGAUUAAGGAUGCCGAACAGAAAGUAAAGGUAAUCCGUGAAAGUCUGAAAGCAGCCACAGAUCGUCAAAAAUCGUAUGCGGAUUUGAAACGAAAAGACAUUGAAUAUCAGGUGGGAGAUAAAGUGUUUCUUAAAGUUUCGCCUUGGAAAAAGGUACUCAGAUUUGGCCGUAAGGGCAAGUUGAGCCCGAGAUUCAUUGGGCCGUACGAAAUCUCCGAACGAGUUGGUCCGGUUGCGUAUAGAUUGAUUUUUCCCCCUAAACUUGAAAAGAUUCACGAUGUCUUUCAUGUUUCGAUGCUUCGACGUUAUAGAUUCGAUCCGUCACAUGUGAUUAAUCCCUCAGAAGUUGAAAUUCAAUCUGACUUGAGUUAUGAAGAAGAACCGAUUCGUAUCCUAGCUCGUGAAGUGAAAGAGUUGCGAAACAAAAGGGUUCCGUUAGUUAAGGUGUUAUGGCUCAAACACGGGAUCGAGGAAGCUACUUGGGAAACCGAGAGCUCGAUGAAAGAACGAUACCCAAACCUAUUUAUCGGUAAGAUUUUCGGGGACGAAAAUUUCUUAAGUGGGGGAGAGUUGUGACAGCCCAAAAUUGACCCUAGUCGGGAAGUGGUUUCGGGACCGCUAAACCGAGUCACCGAAAUGUUUGAAUGUGAUAUUUAUUGUCUAGAAUAUGUAAUUAUGAAUGUGUGAAAAUUUCAAGCUUCGAUUUAGUCGAUUGCAUGUGAAUUUAGUCAAUAGGACUUAUGUGCGACAUUUUUGAAAUGUGAUAGGUCGAAGCAUAAGGACCUAUUAGUGCAUGAAAUAAAAAGGGGGGACUUGCAUGUCAAAUUCCCCCCUAAUUAGUAGUGGCCGGCCAUGACAAGCAUGGUAGACCAAGUGUGAUGGGCAAGACAUGUCAUAGACAUGUUGUGUUGGUGCAUCAUGGGUGGAAAAAAUUAAAAUAAGGAGCAUGGGCAUAAAAUAAUGAAAGGGAAUAUGAUGAAAACAAAAAAAAAAGUGUGUGGUUGUUUCCCCCCCCAUUGCCGUGAGUUAAAGAAAAGAAAAGAGAAAAUUUUGUUCAUCCUUUUUCAUCUUUAUUUGGCCGAAAAUUCAAAGGAAGGAGGGAGGAGUUCUUGCUUCAUGUUUGGCUUGGAAGAGGAUUAGGAGGAGGUUUGGUCAUACUUGUAUCUAGAUCAAGGUAUGUUUGAGGUUGUGCCAUGAGAUUCAUGCAUGUUUUUAGUUGCUAGCUUGAGUUCUAAUUAGCCCAUGGUUCAAAUCUUUGCUAUGUCAUGGGGAUGAUAUUCGGCCUAGGUAGAUUUUGUGUUAAUGCCAUUGCAUGCUAAAUAUGAAGCUUGUUAAUGAUGCAUGUGAUGGUGGAUUGAUGAUUCUUGAAUCUUCUUUUUAGCAUUUUUGAGUGAGCACAUAUGUGCAUUGGUUGCUAGAUGGAGAAGAAUCGGCUAGCAAGUUGUGUGCUAAGGCCGAAUAUAAUUUUUGUAUAUUAAUGAGUAAUGCAUGUGUUAAAUUGAUGGAAAGGGAGAGGAUGCUUUACUAGUGUAUAUAUGUGUGUAUUAGCCAAGUUUUGAACUUGAAACAAAAGGGUGUUUAGUCAAUACAAGUGACCAUACUUGUAGAAUGUAUUAAGUGUUGAAAUCGGCCCCAACAUAGACAUGAAUAUUCGGCCAUAGGAAGGAGAUUGGUGUUGCAUGUAUUCGGUUAGAGGCAAGCAUAUUGAUGCUUUUGUCUUGGCUUAGAAAAUUCGGCCAAGGGGGAAAAAUUAGCUAAAAUGUUGAGUUUGAUUCAUGAUUCCAUACAUAUGUGACUUUAAUGUCUAAUGUAUAAAUAUGGGCUAAGUGCCUUGUGUUCCUCUUUUCGAUGCUCAAAUGAUUAAAUCAAUUUAUUUGUUUAAUUAAGCUCAAGAGCAAAGGGGAACUAAAUCCGAUAAAGGGAAGGAAAAAGUGGUCGAAUAGCUAUCGGAAUCGUUCGACAACACCCGAGGUAAGGUCUUGAGUAAAAGAGCUUAAAUUAUGAUUUGAUUAGAUCAUGUUUUAUGCAAAUCAAAAUCAUGCUCUUUGUGUGUGGCUAUUGAGCCGAAAUUGCAAGAAUGAUAAGUACCUUGUGUUCGAGUUUUGCUAACGAAAAUGAAAUACGAAUGUGCCAUGAUUUAUUGUUAAAUGUGCACUGGUUAUUUGAAUGAUGUCCGGGCUAAGUCCCGAAGGCUUUGUGCUAAGUGACCAUAUCCGGACUAAGAUCCGAAGGCAUUUGUGCGAGAUACUAAUUCCGGGCUAAGCCCGAAGGCAUUUGUGCGAGUUACUAAAUCCGGGUUAAGUCCCGAAGGCAAUUGUGCGAGUUACUAUAACCGGGCUAUGUCCCGAAGGCAUUUGAACGAGUAGCUAUAUCCGGUUAAAUUCCGAAGGUACGUGAUUUGGGAAUGAAUGAUCUUGCUGUAAAAAUUUCAGUAAAUACUCUAGAAACAUCCCAACAUUGAGGUAUGUUUCGUAUGUGCUUGAAUUUAGUUGAGCCCUUACAAAUAAGUAUUCGCUCAGUUGAUAAACGAGCUACCGGCCUUUGGCUAAGUUGAUCUUUUGUGUAUGUACAUAAGGGUUGGUAAUGUGAAGCAAGUAUGAUAUCGAAAAUUUGUGCAUAUGAAAUUAUCCGUUUAGCUAUAUGAAUGCUAUACUUUUGCUGUGCUGGAAUUACUUGCUCAAAACUUACUAAGCAUAAAUUGCUUACUCCGUUUCUUUGAUCCUCUGUUUUAUAGAUUUUGGUUCUCCAGCUAUCGGACUCGGGAUUUUGAAGUCGAAGUCGCCCACACUAUCAAAGCCCCCCCCCUUUUGGUACAAUUUUGGUUAAACUUCGAAAUGGCAUGUAUAGGACUACCCUUUUUGUUGGGGGUCAUGGUCCCCUUGGACUUGUAUAAUUUUGGAUAGCCAUGCGAAAAUGGCUUAUAUAUGUUUGAGUAUAAUGUUAUAAUCAUUUGGUAUGGAUAUGGUUAUUGAGAGGUGUGGAUAUGCUUAACAAGGAUUGGCCAUGGGAAUGGUUAAUCACUAUCAUAAUUUGUGCUAUUUAUGCUAAAAGGGCUAGUUGAAUCAUGGAAACUAUGAAAUAGGUAAAGUCUACCUUAAAGGCAGAUGCUGACAGCAGUAGUGAUGUAGAUUUGGAAAAUCACUAAAAAUAGUAGGAAUGGAAUGAAAUAGUGAAUAAAUUAUGUAAACGAACCUUGAUGAAUUUAUUUUCAUAGGAAAGUAACGAAACAAUCAUAUGGACAGUAUGUUAAGAGAUAUUCAGGUUCUCGUGAGACAGGGGCAUAACGGUUUCUGGAUUUCCUGUUCCGACUUUGGAAAUUCAUUACAAAUUAACCAGAGACAAUUAGGAGUCAAGCCAUAUAUGUAUAGAUUCCUCUCUGAGUCUAGUUUCUACAGAAACAAACGACAUCAGUAUUGAAGCCCUGUACAGAGAGAUAUCCAAGGCGUAAUGCGCAAAGGUCAGUGUAGUCGAUCCCUGUAACAUGGGAGACUUUGACAAAUAAACUGUACUAAUUGGCCCAACCAAAAAUUAUAGAAAAAAAUAAGUAGAUGAAAAUAUGAGUCUAGUUUCAGGGAAAAUUUACGGAACUGGAUUCCGAGUUUCUGAACUCAAGAUAUUAUUUUUAAAGCGACUAGUACGCAGAUUGGCAGUGUCUGGGAAAUUUUUUUAAAGUCUGUUAACACCUCGUGUUCGACUCCGGUGACGGUCUUGGGUUCAGGGUGUUACAGCUGAUGUUAAAGGGUAUAAGUUAUGGUAUCCUGAAAAUAGAAAAUUUGUGAUUAGCAGAGAUGUUUUUUUUAUGACAUUGCUAUGCUACCUAACUUAUCUCUUAAAGACUCUUCCAAUAAAAAAAUCAAAAGUAGGUGGAGCAUCAAAUUAAUCCAGAAUCUAUAAUAGAGUCGACUCAUCAAGCCAGUACAAAAAUUCAAAAUAGAGUUGUUUGUUUACCACAAUACUCUAUCACCAAAAACAAAACUAGAAGAGAAAUUAAACCUCCAAAGAACUAUGCCAAGGCUGAUCUAGUUGCUUAUGCUUUAAAUGUGGCUGAACAUAUAGAUGUAAACCAAGAUUCAUCUAAUCAUUUUGAGGCGGUUAGCUGUGAAGACUUAGAAAAGUGGAUGUUUUAUAUGUAAGAGGAGAUGAAAUCACUCCACAAAAACAGAACAUGGGAUCUUGUGAAACUUUCUAAAGGUAAAAAGGUUAUUCAUUGUAAAUGAGUGUUUAAAAAGAAAUAAGGGACUCUAGGAAUUGAAGAACCUAGAUACAAAACAAGACUUGUUGCAAUGGGUUAUAGUCAAAUUCUAAGAGUGGACUUCACAGAUGUGUUCUCCUCAGUUUUGAAGCAUAGUUCGAUUCAAGCUUUGCUUGGUAUUGUGGCCAUGCAUGAUUUGGAGCUUGAGCAGUUAGAUGGAAAAAUUCUAUUUUUGCAUAGAGAACUUUAGGAGGAUAUUUACAUGCAACAACCAGAGGGUUUUACAAUCUCAGAAAAAGAAGACUAUGUUUUCUUGCUGAAAAAGUCCCUUUACGAUUUGAAACAGUCACCAAGAAAGUGGUGCAAGAGGUUUGAUUCCUUUAUGACUUCUCAUGAUUUCAAAAGAAAUAGUUUUGACAAUUGUGUUUACUUUAAGAAAAGCAGUGAUGGUUCUUUUGUGUAUCUACUCUUUUAUGUUGAUGACAUGUUGAUAGCAGCAAAAGAUAAAGAAGAGAUAAGAAAGGUCAAAGCCUAACUAAGUGAAGAAUUUGAGAUGAAAGAUUUGGGACCAGUAAAGAAGAUACUUGGUAUAGAGAUUCUCAGAGAUAGAAAAAGAAGUAAAUUGUACCUAAGUCAGAAGGGGUACAUUGAGAAAGUUCUUUGCAGGUUCAAUAUGCAGAGUGCUAGGCCUGUUAGUACUCCUUUAGCAGCUCAUUUCAGACUUUCAUCAGAUUUGUCUCCACAAUGAGAUGAUGAGAUUUAGUACAUGUCACAUGUUUCAUACUCUAGUGCAGUGGGAUCUCUCAUGUAUACUAUGGUUUGUUCACGUCCAGAUUUAUCAUAUGCAGUCAGUGCAGGUAGUAGAUACAUGGUGAAUCUCAGUAAAAACAUUGGAAAGUAGUUCAGUGGAUUUUAAGAUACUUACAAGGUACUGCUGAUGUUUUCUUACAGUUUGGAAAAACUAGGGAUUGAGUCAUUGGGUAUGUUGAUGCUGAUUUUACUGGAGACCUUGAUAGAAGAAGAUCUCUCAUAGGUUAUGACUUUACAAUUGUAGGUUGUGCAAUUAGUUGGAAAGUCACUUUGCAAACUACAGUCGCUUUGUCUACCACUGAAGCUGAGUACAUGGCGAUUAUUGAGGCUUGUAAAGAAGCUAUUUGGUUGAAGGGACUAUUUAGUAAACUCAAUGAAGACCUUCAAAUCAGUACAGUAUUUUGUGACAGUCAGUGUGCCAUCUUUCUCACAAAAGGUCAAAUGUUUCAUGAAAGAAAAAACACAUUGAUGUUCAGUAUCAUUUUGCUCGUGAUAUUAUUUCUCGUGGUGAUAUUGUUCUAAGCAAAAUUAGUACUCAUGAAAAUCCUGAAUUCGAAACUUUAAUUAGAAUUAAGUUUUUUCAACCUAUAAAUAGACAUAGUCGAAACUCCUCUUGUAAUCUUUCGAAUUUGACAUAGUGAAUUUUCUUCUCCUCUGCUCGUGGUUUUUUCCCAAAAGGGUUUCCACGUAAAAAUCUGUGUGUUCUUUAUUUUUAUUUCUCUUUUCUUUGUGAUAUAUUGUCAUUACUAACGUUUUAUUUUUACAGUUGCUUUGGGUUCCUCGUCAAUCUACUAGCUGCUACCCUAAUAGGAUCUUUUGAUCCUCCACUAACAUAACGAGUCAACAAUUACUACUUAUCUUUCGAACUCAAAGUCCAAACUAGCUUAGGGUAAACGUUUUCAUGAAUAGGGAAUACCAAUUUUGGGUUAAUUCCCACCUAGAUGAAUUCCUAGGGUUGUUAGGCCCAUGAUUUGUUUUUCGUUGAUCCAUUGAGUAACACUACAAAAUAAUUAAUAGAUCAUACCUUCACUCGCUAAUCCCCCACAGAAGGAUUAGUUCCUCAUGGCUUCCAGAAAGAACAUAGAGUAGAUGGAAAAAUUCGUCAUGGUGAAUGAACUAAAGUAAAGAGUUUUAAAAAAAGCAGGAGUGAUAUUAAUAAUAAGCGCAACCCAAAAAAGUUGAUCUCCUUCACAAAUCAGCUGUCUUCAAAGAAAACAAAGAACAAAUAAACUAAACAUUAAAGAAACCCUAAGAAAACAAGAAAACUAAACUAAAUCAAAAUAGUGAGUCUAAGCUAAUUGAAUGGUGUCUAUAACAUGUGCCAAAGGAGCUCAUUUAUAGCUUUCAAGUGCCUAUCAUCCUUAACCCUAGGUCAUAUGAUGUUCUCGCGCUUUAUGUUUGAUUGUGCGGAUCAAAAUGCCCUUAUUUCGUGUUUAAUUUUAAUCCAAAAGUCGAUAUUGUGAUACACCAGAAUCUGUGUCAUGACAGAGGUGGCAGUAUACUUCUCCUUGAGACGUCUUUAGGGGCAUGUCAGGACACCCUCAGUGUGUCGCGACAUCGAAGGUAGUUUCGUACUUUCUCUAUUCUACUCUCUAUGUUGCGAAAUCGAGCGUCCCGUGUUCCGACAUAGCUCUAGUAUCGAUCUAAAAUGUCUUCUAAUGGUAUCCUGCACACUCACAAGGUACGUUAGCUCUCCUAUAGGCCUCAUUCGGCCCUUAUGGUCAAUAAAAGACUCAAUUUACACAUUUUAUUGAAUGUAAGUAAAGCUAACGAAACUUAACUAAAAUAUAACAAAAAUGCUUGUAUUCAAGAUGCUUAAGUGUGAAUACUCACUUAAUCUAGUACACCGAAUUAUAAUAGAUCAAACUCCCCUACACUUAAGUCAUUUCUUAUCCUCAAGCAACAUAGGCAAACAUAAGAAAUAAAUGUGACAAGCCUUGAGCAAAUAUCAUACAAGUAUUGACUUCGGAGCAUAUGACUUAAGCAUUUCAUGUUUACUAUCAACUUUAACAUGAUAAGUCUUUAACUUACCAUUUUUUAUCACAAACUUGUAAGUUUAGUAUGUUACAGGAUAUAAAAGUAUUAAGGGUCUCACCUGUAUGAUGUCCAUUCAUACAUAAGGAUGCUUAGGUCACAUAGUCGUUUAUGCGUAUGUUUAGUAUGAUGUCCAUUCAUGCAUAAGGAUGUUUAGGUCACAUAGGACUUUCCGGCUUGUAUCGUUAUGAGUCUUAGGACAGGUAUGAAAUUCAAAAACAAUAAGUAUCAAAAGGGCUAUAAACACGAAAAUAGUUUGGCACAUCGUAUUGAUCCCUAUUCUUUCCCCCUUAGUGACCCUUACCCUUACCGCCUUAUUUCUCCUUCUCUCAUCUUCGUUGUCUACGAAUUUUUCUACACUAAUGAACGAGUUUUUCUUUCUUUUGUGACUUUGUGACUUUUCUCUUUUUCAAUACAUCUCACUUAUGAUUUUUUUUACUAUUUUAAGAAUUUUUUCUACUCGUGCCAAUUUCCUUUUUGGAUUUUUAUUUUUGUUCCACACAUUAGGCUAACUUAUAGUUCUUAUAUCAUACCAAUCUUUCCUAUUUACUCUAUUUUUACAAACUCCACCAUGAUGUGUCUACUUAACCCUCAAUACAUAUGGCCAGACGUCUAUAGUCGUGCAAUGCAGGACCAAAGAAAAAGGGUAAAUACAAAUUAAAAUUUAAAGCUUGGUGGUUUGUACUAAGGUUCGUCAAGAAGUGUCAACAGGCUCAAAGAUCAGUACUAAAGGUGAAAUAUAAAUCAGAAGUUUUUUGGCUGAGGAUGUGUUCCAAACAAUACCUUAGGUCAUCCAUAAAUAGCUCAACAUCCAUAAACUUAAUCAACCAAACAAUUACAAAUUCAACUAUUUAUCAUUCAUACUAUCAUGCUCGUUUCCUUGUAUUUUCUAUAUCACUUGGUACAACUAAUUGCUUAAUACCUAUUUACAGUGUAACAUAUAGAAAUUUAGUUGUCUAAUGCUCAAAAAUUUAAAAUCACCUACCAUUAUUCCAAAUUUAUUUGUAAAUUUUUAAGCAACCUAUGUACAUGCUCCUAACCAAUCACUUGUAUAUCUACAAGCUCAAGCACACAAAAGAAAAAAAAUCAACUUUCAAGCAACCUAUGUACAUGCUCCUAACCAAUCACUUGUAUAUUUACAAGCUCAAGCACACAAAAGAAAAAAAAUCAAUGAAAAAAAAUUUCCUAUGUUAGCCCACACACUUUAGUUGACACAUUGUCCUCAAUGUGUAGCCUAUGAAAAGAUAAGGAAAGAUGUUACUCGAGUAAUCAUGAUUGGUUCAACUCUUAUUGGUGUGUGCUUUUUCCUUUGCUAGUAUAAAGUUUAAAUUAUUUGUCUCUUUUGGGUUCCCACAUAGAAAACUUAAACAAAAUGUAAUCAAGCUGAAACCUAUUAUUAGUCUUACUCCUAAAAAGUUAAAAUCAUCUAGAAAUUAAUACAAGUCUUUCUAAAAACAAAAUAAAAAUGCUUAAUCCUUCUCCUCCUCAUCCCACUGUAGUGGUCGCCUCAUUUCUAUUAGAGCCUUGCCUUUUCCUUUUACAUAUGUUCGGCGAGAGCUCUUACUUGUUGAAGGCACAUGUCGAGUUGGGCUUCGUAUAAGAGGCCCUUUUAGUGUAACAAAUUGUGUCUGAAAUGUCGUUUCAUAUUCGUCCUCCAUUCCAAGGUACUUUUGAGGAGCACCUUCCUCCUCAAGAUUAGCCCCAUCAUCUUGGUAAGUUGGAGUUGGCCUGAACAUACAUGGGAGAUAAUUUGGAGCAUGUAACCCGUUCAUCCUUGCGAAUUCUUGAAGUACUUGUUAUGUUUCUUGCAUCCAUCAAAUCAUUGCGUCAAGUUUUUCAUCUAUGUCUCCGCGUACUCCAUUCAAAUGAUCUUUUUGUUUGAGUGAUGUUGGUACAUCCAUUUUCUUCUUCCUUCUUUGAUACCAUACAAUUAUUUGCUUCCAUUGAAGCUCAACAUACUGGGUAUAUAAUGUAUCUUCGAUGAUACUUCUCGUAGAUUUCAUAAAAUGCUCGUUUUCGUUCAUUGGCACUUAUGUUUGGUGGCAUAGAGCCGUUAUGAGGUGGGGGAAGAAAAGUCUAACUUUUUGGCUUUGUAGACACUACUUCAUUUCUCAAAAGAUGCAAUGACCUACAUAGACUUGUCUACACUAUAGAAUAUUAUAUAAAAAAUUGCUCGAAAUAAAUUAAUAUUAGAAACAUUCAAUGCGGGUACGACUCGUGCGAACUUUAGUGUCUGGCCUAUAGUUCUAGCUAUCCCUGCCUUGUGUUAAAAAUUUUAUAACAUCUUCCAUGUUAAUGUUUCAAAAAAUUUUUAAGUCCGUAUUAUUAAUAAAAUACUUCUCGUAAAAUGGAAUGUUAUAAAAUUCACAUAUAUCAUUAGGGGAGAUUGGAAAGUCUUCCCUCUUGUACUUCAACAUUAGGUAUUACUACAUUAUAGCCCCGUUUAGUCAUUUGGUCCUUAAGGGAUGCAUAAAAUUCUUGAACCACAAGUACGUUUGCAUUAUUCGUGGGAGUAAUGCAAAAUGGCUCCCAUUGAUGAUAACAGACCAAAGUCCAGAUUUCUUUGUAGUGGAUCAUUGAGGGUUCAAAUCUUUAUUCCUGAAUUAGUUGUCUCCCUUGUGAGUCAAGAAAAUAAUUUUCAAUAUUGGCAUUAUGGAAUCAUAUAGGGUCGAAAACAUGUUGGGUUUCUAGAACAUAAGUGGAAUCAUACGGGGUUGAAAACAUGUAGGGUUGAAAACAUGUGGGGUUUCUAGAACAUGAGUUCUCUUGUUCUUUCUAGGAGGCAUAGUAUAAACAAUGUUUCUAAUAAUAUGAAUAGUAAUCAAUAAUACACUAGAAAAGUUUGAGAAGACUUGACCCUCAACUUUUAGACUUGUUUGCACUACCUCUUGAUGAUAACUCCUUCUAAUGUAUCUUCUUAAAUUGGGAAUGAGGGAUUAGGGCUUAAGUUUUGAGGAGAGGAAGAGUUUUGGAGGUUAAAGAUUUUAUAGAGGUUUUAGAGGAUUUUAAGUGUUAGAAUGAAGUUGGAUUAAGGUAGAAAGGUGUUUUCAUUUGUAAUAGGGUGCUUUUUUAGUGUUAAUAGUUAAGUAAAUUAAGGAUUAUUCUGCCAGGUUGCACAACCAGGUUGGGUUAACCAUACAGAAAAUUACAGUGGUGUCGCGACACAAGGGUUCCGUAUCGUGACAUCCUUAGCAUAUUACCCUUUUCGCGAUAGUGGAGCUCGAUGUCGCAACACACCCUACAGUUUUGAAAUUCUGAAAAACUAUUUUCUACAUCGCGACACAGGCUAGUGAUGACGUGACCUAGGUCAAUGUAUGAACUUUCUUCAUUGCUGCUCUUGAUGUUGCAACAUAAAAUUGUCUUUGUCACGACAUUAGGCUUUUUCCCAAAUAUCUACCUUCAAAAUGCUUUCUAGAUCUUGUUAGACUUGUCUUUAACCUACAUUAACAAUUAGGUUAGCGGAAUAUACCAUUAGUAUAAUUAGUAAUAAUCAAAUGAUUGGAAAAUGUUAGGUCUUGCUGCCGAACUCGUCCGUCAGCUCAAUCAAUCUGCACCAAUGAGCUCCAUUUAAUUUGUUUCUGUCUAUAUUUGUCCAACACCCAUCAUGCCAUUCUAUUUUUCUAUGGUUGUUUCUUUUUCUAAAUUUACCUUUUUGGCCUACUUUAACGACUGACAACUCUGUCAACAGGUCAUAACUAUUAAUGAUUUAGAAAGCCGCGUAAUUAUACAACCACUUUAGCACGCACUUAGCGUUCUUACUUCACAAAAAGGUUGAAAAAUAUGGUUCAAACUUGCCGCUUAUUAUGUCUUUGCUCAUCUCAUCGCUUUAGAAUAGUUUUUCAGGUGUACUUGAGAUGAUGAUUGGUACCGGUGUUGACGAAAGGAUUAGCAAAGGUGUUUUCACUAAGUCUUUUAGAUUCUAAAUUUGCAGAUUUUUUAAUUCAUUCAUUUGUGGUCUCUCCAUGUGUUUACAGGUAACUUCCUUGCAUGGCUCUUGUAAUGCCCGAACAUUACAUGAUGCUUCAAAGUCAAGACCUAUGCUCAUUAGUUGCCUCGUUUGACCCAGUCUUGCUAUACGAUCAUGGAUUUUGUCUAUAUAUACUCCUCAAAUUUUGUUUAGCGUUUAAAAAAAAUUUAUGCCAUCAAAUCUCUGAGGUUCUUAGUUUAGGACUACUUUUAUACAAAGGGUAUUCAAUUUAUGUUCACCAGUUUGGUCUAGUAGUAUCUUUAUAUUUUGCUCUGAAAAUUCCCGAAUCGACUGACACUCUUCUACUAGAUCAGCCUUAAGUACCAUGGUCUCAAUUGGUUGGUCUACACUAUGCUGCUAUUGUAUUACGACCUUACGAGUGGAACCUAAAAUUUCUGAGACAAUGAGUUACAUGCUGAUCUAAUUUUGAGGUUCGCUGACCAUUUCCUCUACUAGCUCUAUAUCUUUUUCUUUAUCAGUUGCAUUUAAUUUGUCUGAAUGUUCUUUUGUCUGCUGAGAUAGAUAGUAGUGUGGGAUUUCUCCUUUUUCAAAAGCAUCAACAGCGACAUUCUCUUCUUUAUUCAAUUCUAGACUUAACACUUCUUGGUACAUUUCUGAUGGCAUAUCAUCAUGGUCAUUAUCAUAUUGGGAGAGAACCAGGGUUUCUCCUCGGGGUUGAAUUAAUUCAAGCACUAGUAAUCAUUGAUUCUCUUGGAUCUUCCAAUCUUCGUAGACUCCUUCUUCAUAAAUAUAUUCGUCAUAGUUGAAGUCUUCAAUAGACCACAUAUAAUAAAAGUCAUCCAUGACUUUGUCCUGCCUGAUUAUUUGGUUAACGAUGUCUAAGAUUCCAAAAAACAAAUGUUAAAAGUGUUGAUUGAAAAAAAUGGAAGUAGUAACUAUAACCUACAAAUUUCCUAAUUAUUCUUUUAAAAUGCAAAAAUUAAAAUCGCUCUAUUGUUGCCUCUCUAACAACGGGGCCAAUAACUUGAUCGCCUCUAGACGUACUACUGUCCAAAGUGUGAAUACUAUAAUAAAAUAUAUAACGACAAGGUAGUGUCCCUAAGUAUACGAGCCGAGUUGUAAUAUAGUUUUACAAAAAGUAAGUGAAUGCUCCGAUUAUCGUAUCCAAGGGAGGUGAGUAUAGAGAAAAUCAAAUCUCGAUUAUGGGUGAUUAGCUCACUUCGAUAAUCCCUAUCAACUAUUGCUUCGGGUUCAUUGUCAAUCAUCUAAUCGCUACCCUAGUAGGACCUUCUGAUUUUCCAUCAAAAAAAUGAGUCAGCAAGAACUACUUAUCUUCUAACCUCACAGUCUAGACUAGCAUAGGGUGAAGGUGUUCAAAAAUGGGCAAUACCAAUUUUGAGUUAAUUCCCACCUUGAUGACUUCCUGGGGUUGUCAGGCCUAAGGUUUGUUUCCCGUUAUUCCUUUCCCAAAUAGUUGAUCCGUUCAGUAACCUUAUAAAACAAUUAAUAGAUUAUACCUUUACUCGCUAAUCCCUCACAAAGGGAUUAAUUCCUCAUGGCUUUCAUAAACAACAUGGAGUAGGUGGAAGAAUCAUAAUGAAUGAAUUAAAGUAGAGAGUUUAAGAAAAUCCUGAUUGAUAUUAAUAAUAAGCGUGAAUCCACAGAUGUUGAUCUCUUUCACAAAUCAAAUCUCUUGAAAGAAAGCGAAGAACAAAUAAGCUAAACCCUAAAAAACCUAAGAAAGUAAGAAAACAAAACUAAAACUAAAUAGAGAAUCUAACCUAAUUGAAUGAUGUCUAUAACAUGUGCUGAAGGAGCUUAUUUAUAGCCUUCAAUUGGCCGUCAUCCUUAACCCUAGGCAGGCUGAAGUUUCCUAGCUUUAAGUUUGGUCGUAUGGACCAAAACACUCCUGCUUCAUGUUUAACUUCUGUCCAAGAGUUGAUAUCGUAACACACUAGGACCUGUGCCGCGAUAGAGGUGUUAGUAUACUCCACCUUGAGACGUCUUCAGGGGUAUGUCGUGACACCCUCAGUGUGUGUCACAACAUCGAAGGUAUUUUUGUACUUUUUGCAUUCUACUUUCUAUGUUGCGACAUCGGGUCUCUCGUGUUGCAACAUAGCAUCUAGUAUCGGUCUAAAAUGCCUUGUAAUGGUCUCUUACACACUCACAAGGUAUGUUGGCUUUCCCUUAGUCCUCAUUCAGCCCUUAAGGUCAAUAAAAGACUCAAUUUGCAUAUUUUAUUGAAUGUAACUAAAGCUAACAAAACAUAACUAAAAUAUAAUGAAAAUUCUUGUAUUCAAGCUCCUUAAGUGUGAAAACUAGUUUAAUCUACUACAACGAAUUACAGCAGAUCAAGUACCAAUGCUAGUUUCAUUGUGAGUAUAGUAAUUAGGACCCCUCUAUUUAGGGUAACCAGGUUUUGUCCAUAUUGGAAUCUUAUUUAUAUUUGUAUUUACAAUUGUAGACCAUUGAUGAAGAUAUUUUGAAAGGGUAUGACACGUUUCAAGUUUCUAUGGGAAUAUGGAUCAUAUAUGUAAAUAAAUAUUAGUUAAAUUGACUAGAGAGAGGGAGAUGUUUUAUCUUCUUCUUUCCUUUAAAAAUGUUGUUGUGGCUUUCUUUGGAAGCCGUCUACGGUUUGCUGCCAUUGGGUUGUAACUAAAGAUCGUACUUAAAGUAUAAGAUUACUUCAUAUUCUAGUGAGUAUUUUAGUUAUGUAGGUGGAAUUCUGAAUAGUAAGUUAUUAAAUUUGGUUGAACGUUAAGAUUAAAGAAAAAAGGGCUUUGUAUGGGGUUGUCCAUGUUUGAAAAAUGGCUAAAGGUAUGUGAAUGGGUUUUGAUGAUGUUUUUGUGUUCCUUGAGUAGUGAUUUCUUGUUAGAUGGUUGGAUCUGGAGUUUUGAAUGAUAAUAGGUGAGGAUCAAGUGAGUUUCUACACUAACCCUUCUUUAUAUUUUUUGUUCAUACUGAAAUAUAUCUAUAUAAAAUUAAUUAAACUAUGAAUCUAAAAUCAUGGAUAGUAUGGAAAUCAUACUUAUACAAAUAAUGGGAUGAAGGUAUGUGUGUAGGAUAUGAAUUCUGAGAAUUUCAUAUUUGUGAAGGAAUGGGGAGUGAGUUAAUAUUAAGUUAAAGAAUAAGUAGCCAGGGCAAAUAUGAGUUCUCUCAUGAGCACUCCUAUAAAACUUUUAGAUAAUUCAUUUAUAAUUUAAGUUCUAGAAGAAAUGAAUGAGUGCAUGAAUGAUCGUUGAGGAUAGCAUGAACAUAAAGUGAGUUAUGUGCAUGAAUGACCGUAGGCAUCCAUCAAACUAAUUUUGGCAAGCAUAUAAAAUCAUGGUAUGCAAAUUAUGUCAAUUAUAUUAUAAGAUGGGUCUUUCCCGCACAGACAUCUUGGCAACAAAAAAAGAGGAUAGCCCAUGAAUCAAAAAUUAUAUUUGGAAGGAACCAUAUAUGUUUCGCCAAUGUGCGGAUCAAUUAGUUCGGAGGUGUAUAGUGGAAGAAGAGAAAGACAUGAUCUGUCGUAAUUCAGUGUAGCAGAUUAAACUAGUUUCCGCACUUAAGGAGCUUGAAUACAAGCAUUUCCAUUACAUUUUAGUUAAGGUUCUUUAGUUUUAAUUAUAUCUAAUAAAAUGUGUGAAUUGAGUCUUUUAUUGACCUUAAGGGCUGAAUGACGCUUAAGGGAGAGCUAACGUACUUCGUGAAUAUGCAUGAGACCAUUAAAAGGAAUUUUAAGCCGAUGCUGGACGUUAUGUCGCAACACGAGAGGUUUGAUGUCGCAACAUAGAAAGCAAAAUGGAGAAAAUAUGAAACUGCAUUCGAUGUCGCAACAUUGAAUAAGGGCAUUGGAAACACGAAAAUAUACACACUUUUUCAUGCCCUUUUUAACUCAAAUUAAUGCAGUUUCGAUAAAAUUCUUGUCGAAAAAUAUAUAAUAAUUAUAAAACAAUUAAAUUAUAUCUAAAUUAUUAACAUGUUGAAUUUUAAUUAAUAUUAUAAUAAAUUUAUCAUUUUUGAUAGAUUUGCACAAAGGGCAAAAAUUGGCUCGGCAGACACUACUAGAAGCACAAAACUGAGAAGCGAUUUUUGAAUCAUCAAGGCGAACUAAUUUUUUAGCUGAAGACGAUCCAAAUUAUGAAUAUUAAUUCAUAAUAUAAUUAAUUUUAAUUUUAAUCCAAUUUAUUUUGGGUUAAAUAAUUAUUAUUAAUUAAUUAUGAAAAGAGGCCAAGUUGAGCUGAACCGAGAAAACCAAUCCAAUCGAGCAUUGGGCAUCCCAAAACUGUCCCACAUGCUCACCCAAUCAACUUGUUUGGCUGAUNNNNNNNNNNNNNNNNNNNNNNNNNNNNNNNNNNNNNNNNNNNNNNNNNNNNNNNNNNNNNNNNNNNNNNNNNNNNNNNNNNNNNNNNNNNNNNNNNNNNNNNNNNNNNNNNNNNNNNNNNNNNNNNNNNNNNNNNNNNNNNNNNNNNNNNNNNNNNNNNNNNNNNNNNNNNNNNNNNNNNNNNNNNNNNNNNNNNNNNNNNNNNNNNNNNNNNNNNNNNNNNNNNNNNNNNNNNNNNNNNNNNNNNNNNNNNNNNNNNNNNNNNNNNNNNNNNNNNNNNNNNNNNNNNNNNNNNNNNNNNNNNNNNNNNNNNNNNNNNNNNNNNNNNNNNNNNNNNNNNNNNNNNNNNNNNNNNNNNNNNNNNNNNNNNNNNNNNNNNNNNNNNNNNNNNNNNNNNNNNNNNNNNNNNNNNNNNNNNNNNNNNNNNNNNNNNNNNNNNNNNNNNNNNNNNNNNNNNNNNNNNNNNNNNNNNNNNNNNNNNNNNNNNNNNNNNNNNNNNNGAACACCCACCAGUUUGCUAAAAGCUUUAAACAAGCUUCAUCUUUCCCUUGUCUUUGCUUGUAGACGAUUCUGUUAGGUUCACAAUUUCACAAAUCAUACACAAUUCACUAAUAGUCGAAGCACAUUAAAACUCAUGCAUAACACAAGUGAACCGAGGUUCAUACAUGCUAAUCUUUUAUCGAACCUAGUUUCCUUUGUUGCGAACUUUCUUAAUUACUUUUAUAUGUCUAACCCAAUAGAGAAAUAAUGUCUUAACUUUAAUCCUAAAAACUAAAUGUUGGGUUCUUAUUUUCGUAGAAUCUUGACAAAAAGAGAAAUAAGUAAUCGAUGAAGAAAUUUGAGAGAGGUUUGUUGUUCAAAAUAAUGUGGAAUUUUCAAUGACAAAAGCUUAAUUUAUAAGCACUAAUUGUUUUGAAGUUCUUAGGAUACCUUAAUAGACAUAGGAAAGAGUUACGUGCAUGAGUGGUGUUGUGAAGAGGAAAAUAAGUUAACUUCCUAACUUUGGUAUAAUUUCCUUUUGGCUAAUCUUUUUUUUUUACAGUCAAGCCCUUACUUUCACUCUUGAGCCAAACCAACAACCGUAGCUCACCAGGCCCACUGGCAACCCCAGCUAUCCAAGCCCACUAAUGACCCCAACUCACCAGGCCCCAAACUCCUAAGUCCUAUUUUGGGAUGUUACACAAUGAGAAUACAAAACCCAAGUCCCGAAUACAAAGCUCACACCCAAAGCUCUCACUAAAGGGGUUUUACAAUAUUCUCUCAAACUCUCACCAAAACUCUAUAUGCGACUACAUCUUGUCGCCCUCAAAGAAAAGUCAUUGUUGAUUGGUGUGUCUAAAUCAGGUUUACAAAGACCCUUUAAAUAGGCUCAAUACUAAAGGCUAAAAUGGCUAAAAUAACCUUAAAGUAAUCAAAGUUUAAUUGGGAGAAGAAGUCGUUUUGAGUUGUACAAAACAUGGCUGCAUAACAUCAGGAAUCGUUGUGACGUGUCGGCUUUCCUCGUCAUGACAUUUUCGCCACGACCAUUGCCAAAAACCGUCGCAUCGUCCCAACAUUUGGAACCUCCUCGUCCUGAUGUCGGGCUUAUUUUGGCCUUUCUUCGAUUGCUUGUCGAUUCUCGUCUAAGAUGCCUACAACGUGUCCAAUAAAUGCGAGGCACACCCUACAAUGUUGAAUGAUAUAGAAAUUUAAGAAUGUUAAAAGGAUUUCAAAUUUAAAAAAAAAAAUUAUCCUUGGGUAAGAAUUAGUAUUUAGUGUAGUUAUUUAAAUUUUAUAAAAUUUAUUUAUAAUAAUCAUAAAUUAUGAAAUAGUAAAUUUAAUUUAAUAAUUAAUAUUCAUAAAUUUUAAAAAUAUUUAAUUAAAUAAUGUAAUAAUUAUUCCGAAAUUGAGAAGUUAAAAUUUAAUAUGAUUGAAAUUAUGUUACUUGAAUGUAAAAAAAUGUAGUGGUAAAUCAUUGUACUUAUAAUUAAUAAUUAUUUUUAAAAUUUUUAAAUAUGCAUAAAUUUAAUAAAAUUAUUUAAGAAGAAAAAAUAAUAAUUUCUAACCUAUGUAAUAAUAUUUAAAUGGAAUAUUUUCAAUAUUUUUGUGGAUGUUGAUCUUAAAAAUUACUGGUUCUUGAAAUCGGAUUAAAAAAUAAGUUGUACCAUAUCAAAUAGUUAAAAUUGAAAAAGUACGUGUUGGUAAAAUAAAUUGCAAGGCUCCCUUUGGAUGGUUGAAGAGCUUGUUUCCAGUAAGAUUAAAAAUAGUAAUAGCGAUGAGAUUAGAUACUAUAGUAGUGAUAUUAAAAUCGGUGGUGCGAUUCAAACGCAACUGUAGCAAUGAGGUGAAAAUAGAAAAUAACUAUUAAGAACAUCAAAUUGAAAUAUAUAAUAAAUUAUUUAAAAUUAUAUUUUAAAUUAAAUAAUAAUAUAUUUUGUGUUAAAUUAUAAUUAAAAAUUAUAUUUCUAUUAUAAAAGAAUACUUAUGUUAUAUUUAUAUUAAAAAUAUUAAUAAAAUCAGUAUUAUAUUAAAAUAAAAUAAUAAUAUGGAGGGGUAAAAUGUAAAUUUACCCAUAAUGAGAGGUUUAGUUUAUGCAACUAAAACCCCAAACAUUAGUUAAGGGUGAGUUUAGAUGGGCGGUGCGUUUACCUGCAAUUAGUGUAAAAGCAGCAGUGGCGGUGAGAUUAGAUACUGUAGCGAUACUGUAGUGUGAGACAAAAAGUAAGCUAAAUGCACCACACCGUCCGUAAUCGCCCAUCCAAACUCACCCUAAGAAAGAGAUGCUCCAGUGCGGUGAGAAUUAUCGAAACAACAAAAACUUUUUAGCCUAAAAAUUCCAACGCACUAGGCUUCAGUGGGGGCAAUACAAAAAUACCUUUUCUUCAACUAUAUAUAAAUAGUAAUAAGAAAAUGUGUAGAAUUAAAAUAUUUCUUUUAUCUGGAAUUGAGAUUUAUAAGUAUGUAGAAUUGAACACAAAAUAUACCGUCUGGUGAAUUAAUGUGGAAAUGAAAGCUAGAAUUACAGACUAUGAUUAGGCUUAGUAUAUAUAUUUAUAAUAGUAUAUAUUUUUAUUUUUGGUUGGGACUAUUAAGACAAAUGUUAUAUUUUUGGGGGAAUUAUGGUAACCCCUUUCAAUUUGCAAAUAAAAUAGGAUUAAAUAUAAUUUUAUAUUGAUAUUACAUGGAACUGUUGUGAAUUAAUUUUGAUAUACAUUGACCGACUUAAAUUCAAUGGAUUAAUGUAAAUAUUUAAUUGAAUGAAUUAAAAUAAAUAGGAUUCAAUUAAAAUGUUUAAUUUAAAAACAAAAAUGAAACGAAAUAGUUAAAAUUUUAUGAGAAUUUAACAUUUGUAACAUGAGAUAAAAAUUAAUUAUAUAUGUUAAUAGACCUUUAAAAUUGUUACGUAUGAAAUUUCAUGAUAGAUGUAAAUUGCCUACCAUUGCUGAAGUGUCAGCACAUUAUAGGUGACAAAUGGUAUGCAGAGCAGUGGUUUAGAACUAAAACUUACCUUAUUUGGUUAAAAAACUAGACAUAAUAUAUAUAUGAUAUGAUGAUGAUGAUAAAUUUACGUACGUAAAUAAUGAAAAGUUUAACUGAAAUUUUUUAAUAUUGCUAUGAUUUUGCCGAUAUAAUUAAUUUAAUUUUAAAACGAUAAUCUAAUACAUACCAAAAUCUCAUUGGUAAAUUACCAAUAAGGGAAAUGUCGAUAUACAUUCAUUGGCAAUUUCCUUCAGCAUUAAUAUAUUCACUAUAAUUACAGAAAAAAAAAACAGUUUUCUUGGGAUAAUAACGACACGUGGCGAUAUCUUAUUGUGGCUGACGUCAAAUACUUUAACUUAGCUAUAGAAUAAAUAUAUUAGAUAUGUAUUUAUAUCAUUUUAAAUUAUUCAUAAAACUUCUAACCAUUUAAUUCACAUUAAAAUAUAAUAAUGAAUCAACUUUAAGCAAAAUUUGGUGGGCUUACAGUUGAAUGGAAUGCCGGCUGUCGCAUGGUUGAUCUGGAAACCAAUUGUUCUGCCGCUAUUAAUAUUCUUAAGGAAAACAACAAUCGCUUUGAAUUCCAACAACCUUUGGAGGAGAUCUGAAAGCUUUGUAACAAAGAGGGGCUAAUCGGGUUCGACCAUGUUUACAGGGAAGCUAACAAGGUUGCGGCUGCCCAAGAUUUUCCAAAUAAAAAGAUUUACACAUCUAUCGCUGGAAAUUUGCAGAUUCUUAGUAGACGAUCCCAAUCAUGUUUCUUACGUAAUGCCAUGUUGAUUGAUUUGCAGUUUUGUAGGGCUCAGCCCCACUCCAUUUGACUACAAAAAAAACAAAAGGCGCUACCCUCCUCAAUUUGUAGGAAAAAUAUCUAUGUUCUUAUCCAAAUAAUAGUGCUCGACAAUAUCAGUUGUCUGUUCUUUUCGUUUCUUUUUGUAAGUGGGGGUAAUGUAGCUUUUAUAUCUGGCUAUCUUAUUUGUUGUUAACUGCAAAGCCUGGAUAGUGCGCUGCAGACCACUACUCAACUCGAGGCAGUAACAAGCAAGAUGGAAAAUAGUUCAAAGCAAUGGCGUUUCGAAGGGAACAAAAGGCUGAACUCGGCAUCAGCAAUCAGUGUGCGAGGAGUUCUUGAUCUGGUAAUUGGAAAUCUCAGCACCGAUGAUCCGAGACCCACCAUUCCCCUUGGCAACGGCGAUCCCUCUCAAUUUGCAUGCUUUAGGACUUCCACAACAGCGGAAGAGGCCAUAGUUGAUGCCGUCCAUUCAGCCAAGUACAAUGGUUAUGCACCUACUGUUGGAGUUCUCUCUGCCAGAAGGUAAUAUUUAUUGACACUUAACUCCGGUUUCUAUAUAUUUACAUUUUCCAUAUUCAUUCCAAAAAAAAAAAAAUCCUGUUCUUGCUAAGAAAUAUCAAGAAUGGUCUGUUUUAUAUGUAUUUAAAAAAUAAUAAUAAUACUUCCAAGAUUCUAACAGGGCUAUUGCAAAUUAUCUUAAUCGUGACCUUCCAUAUAAGUUAUCUGCGGAUGAUAUUUAUGUUACAAGUGGAUGCUUACAAGCAAUUGAAGUUGCAUUAGCAGCCAUUAACCGCCCUGGUGCCAACAUUUUGCUCCCAAGACCAGGCUUUACAUUCUAUGAAUCUCGAGCUGCAUAUGAACAUCUCCAAGUCCGUCAUUUUGAUCUCCUUCCUGAUAGGGGUUGGGAAGUUGAUGUUGAUGCCAUUGAAGAUCUAGCGGAUGACAACACCGUUGCCAUAGUUAUUAUAAACCCUGGCAAUCCUUGUGGAAGUGUCUAUAGCUAUGACCAUCUGAAAAUGGUAAAUUAUCCAAAUGGUUAGAAUUUUUUUUUCUUUUAUUACUAUUAUUUUAUAAAAAUUGAAGAUUAUUUGAAUUAGGUUGCAGAGACAGCAAGAAAGCUUGGAAUUUUGGUUAUUGCUGAUGAAGUUUAUGGCCAUCUUACAUUUGGAAGCACUCCCUUUGUGCCAAUGGGAAUAUUUGGAUCAAUUGUGCCAGUUCUCUCUCUUGGGUCUAUAUCAAAGAGAUGGGUUGUUCCUGGUUGGCGACUUGGUUGGCUAGUAACUAGUGAUCCUAAUGGCAUCCUUCAAAAGUCUGGGGUUAGCCUUCAUUUUUUUUUUCUGACCUUCUCUCUGGCUUAUGACAAUUAGAAGGACAUGUUUAAUUUGAAGUUCUUUCAUUAUUCAAGUAUCUAAACAGAAAUCAUAAGAUAAUAAUCAAUGGUGUUAAUGUUCUUGUUCCAUCACUCUCAGAUUGUGGAGUCAAUAACAGGCUUUCUCAAUAUCUCCACUGAUCCUGCAACCUUCAUUCAGGUUCGUGAUGCAAAAUGCUUUUCUAGACCGAAAAAUACAUCAACUUUCAAAGAGCAAGAACAAAUUUAAGUCAAUGCAUCGCAAUUUUCACGCUAAAAAGACAUUAAAUACUGUCAGUUUAUCGUGCAUCAUUCUCCAGCACCUUACUAUAUAGCUUUAAUGUUAACACUGGAGAAAAAUAUUUCAUAAGCUUGGGUUUGAAUGUAAGGGAGUUAUUUUUUUAUUCUUAGUUCUCCUGUUUUUUCUCUCUUGGUUAUAUAUAAUUGUAUUUUAUGCAUUAGGGAGCGAUUCCCCAAAUCCUGGAGAAUACAAAGGAUGAUUUCUUUUUAAAAGUGAUUGUGACACUAAAGGAGGCUGCCGAUAAAUGCUUUGAUGGAAUUAGGGAGGUACCUUGUCUUACUUGCCCAAAGAAACCAGAAGGAUCAAUGUUUGUAAUGGUGAGGCCAUAAAUCUUACGAUUUGUCUGCAGAAGAUAGAGGACAUGUAUAUAUGGCUAGAUAUCUACAUAUUUUGCAGGUGAAGCUGAAUGUUUCACUACUGGAAGACAUUAGUGAUGACCUGGAUUUCUGCAUGAAGCUGGCUAAAGAGGAGUCCGUCAUUAUUGUCCCAGCUGGUAAGAAAAGAAAAAUUCAAGUUUCUUUAACAAAAUGUAGGUUUCUAAUUACAUUUAUUUGGUGCAAAAUCAAAAUAUUGUUGUAAAGAACAAUUGAAAGAAUUGAGGCUCAAGGUGAUGGAUUUCGAUGAUCAUGGUUCUAUGCUUGUGUAAAUCUCAUGACAGAAGUGCCACAAAAUUAUACAGGGAUGGCUUUUGGAAUGAAGAAUUGGCUUCGUAUAACUUUUGCUUGUGAAAUCUCAGCUCUUGAAGACGGCCUAAGAAGGAUAAAAGCAUUUCACCAAAGGCAUGUGAGGAAACAGUAAGAUUUAUUUGUGGCUGGAAUGGCAGAUGAAACAACAUUGUCUUACUUUUCUCUAUUUGAUUAUACCAACAUACUGUACAAAGUGCAAACCAUGGAUAAUAUCGCUCAAUAUGAAUCUCAGUAUAACACCUUUGAACCUGAUACCAUCGCUAGGUCUGAUUUGUAUGUGAUCCAAUCGCUGGUCCAGAUACCAAGAUGCUACCUUCGUUGUUAGAGUGAUUACAAUUUAAUUCAAUUUAUUUUGAGUCUCUACAUAAUCAAAUUUGGGUCAAUAUAUGUUUCAUAUUUAUUUCCAAGUCUUAUAUGAUUUAUAAUAGCUUUCUACACAAUCUACGGUUGAACAAGGACUGAAAUGCAAAUUCUGAAAAUUUUCGGGGUGACAUUGUAACGUCGGGGGUUCCACGUGGUUCUCCUGUCGUCGCGACGCGCUCUCCAUCUCAAAAUUUUUUUCCACUUUUCAACAUUUUUUCACUUAAAUCCCCAUACAUAAAUUAAAAUUUAACUGAUCAAAUUCAUUUCACAUCAAGUCCAUAUAAUAUAACAUGCUAUUCGAUAAAAGAUAACAAGGUUUAUAAAAUUAACAUAAUUAUCAAAGUUUUACAAAUAAGUCCUUUAGAGGACUUACUCUUUCUACAUAUCAUAACUAUUGCUAAUAUAUAUCAACCAAUUUAUCAUUUAAGACUUUCUUAAUUCAUUUUAUAACAAUCACCUACCUAGUACCUCAAAAAUACAUUUGAACUUCUCUUAUAUAUUAGCAAAUCCAUCAUUUGCAACAAUUUCUUAAGAUUAUAACUCUUCUGUUAUUUUUCCUCCUCCUCUCCAUUCCUCAUCAUUUAUGUAGAUGUAAUUAUACGAGAAUUUAUGGCUUUUAGUAUUGAAUGCCUAUAUGCAACAUUAAUUUCAAUUUUACUAUUUACAUAAUUUUAGCAAAAUUGUCCACUUGAAUAGCAGUCACUAAAUCAUUUAUAUCUUAGUCUACAACAUCCCAAAUUAAGAUAUGCUUAUUGUUUUUUAAUCUAGACUCAAUAACUUUUUUACCAUAAAAAUUUCAGAAUUUUUUCUUAUGUCAAUUAAUACAAUAAAUUGUUUUAGUUUUCUCUUGUUUUGUUGCUAGACAACUUUGACUCACUAAAAAUUAUCUUUCAGUACACUACUCGUAUAAUGUUUCAAUUUAUUUCCCUUAUGAAUAGACUCAUCAGUAUUUUAAGCACAUAAGUUUCAUCUCCUAAACAUUUUUUUUUACAAUUUGAGAUAAUUUUUCAAAGUCAAAACAAGGGAACCCAAAAUCAUUCUGACAUUGUCUCUCAAAAAAUCAUAUACCUCAUAAUAUACUAAUCAUUUACUUACACCGUUUCUUUUAUGCUAAACUAGACUCAAUAAAUUUUAAUUCAAUUUUUAAUUCAACCUAUAAAUCGAUCUCUACAAUUUUUGGUGAAUUUUCAAAAUUGAACUACUACUGUUGUCUAAAACUAUUUUAGUGAAAAUUUUACUUAUUAUCACUCAUAUCAACAUUUAACACUUAUUUCAUUUAUCAAACUAUUAGAUUAUUGUACAAGAUCAUUUGAUUGUACAUAACAUUAUACUUUUGAUUAUUAUUCGAUUUAGUCCCUUAAAGCUUACAUGUAAACUUAAUUACAUUAUCACUUUCCAUAUUAUAAUUCAUAUCACUUUCUUUUCACAGUUUACAAUAUUUACAUUAUUUUGCAAUCUAGUCCUUAAUAUUAUAAAAACUCAAUAAUUAUUAUAAUUGUUCUGCUAACUUCACUUCUCAUUCAAUUUCACUAUCACAUAACACCUUAAUCAAAUGAUUUAUUAUAAUUUCUUACUUCACAUAUUUGAUUUUUAUGGACUUCACUUCAAUCAUUUUUAAUUUUAAGUUUCUCAAAGUUUACAAUUUAGUCCUUAGCAUCAUGAAAAUUCAAUAUUUACCAUAAUUUCACUUUAACAUCACUUUGUAAAUAAUUCACUAACACCUAACACAUCAUUUAAACUCUUUAUCUUAAUACCUUAUUUAAAUCAUAUUUUUUUGUACACAUUAUAAUUUAGUCCUUUUACUAUUAUUUAAAUAUAUCAAAUCAACUCAUUACAUAAUAUUAGCUUAUUUAUAAUUAGUUCAACUAUUUAGCAUAACCUAUACUUGAUUAAAAUAAAAUAAAAUAAAAUCCUUGAAGUACUUACCUUGUCUCUUUAAUCUCUUCAUUUUUCCACAACUUUCUCCACUUCCACUUACAAUUUCUUUCUUUCAAGAUGAUAUUAUAACUCUCUUGUAUCUCUACUUCACUUCUCCUUUUGGGUGGUAAAAGAAUUUUUCAAGGAAUUUAGGAGAAAAGGUGAGAUUUCAUGGUAAGGGACCAAUUUGUAAAGAAAUGAAAGUCCCCUUCCAUGUAUAUGUAAGUGGCGGUGGAAGCAUGAAGAAUUUUCUUCAUGUUUCCAUACAAAUAUAUUAUUUAAUUUAUUAAUUAAAUAAUAAAAUAUCUUAUAAAAUAAUAAAAUAUUCAACCAAUCAUAAUUUAACACUUUUCUUUCUUAAUUUUUACACCAUAUAAUUAUCUAAUUUGAGUAAUGACCAUUUUAUCCUUCAUGUUUCUUCAAAACUUCAUCUUUAAGUCACUAUUCACUUUUGGUAAAAUUACAAUUUAGUUCUUCAUGUUUCUUCACUUAUUCAAUUUGGUCCCUACACACUAAUUUCAUGACAUAAGAAAUUUGGAUUAUUUUCUCUUUUUUUCCUUCAAUUUUUCUCAUUUUUAUAUUUCAUUCCUCCAAAUUUCAAAUAAUUAUACUUAAAUAUCAAAACUUUUUACAUCUUUAUGAUUUAAUUCUUACUUUAAUUUAGUAUAUUACAACAUACUUUUCAAUUUAAAUUUCUUUAAUACUCCUCAACCUUCUCUUUUAUCACUUUCAUUUCCUUAUUUUAUUUUAUCGAGAAAUCAAUUGUACAUUAUCUCGAUUUAUAAUUGCUUUUAAAAUAUAAAAAUUUUAGGGGUGUUACAAGUAAAUUCCUUGGUUUUACCAUCAAAAUAUUGAAAAUAUCUUAAAAUAUAUAUUAAUGAUUCUGAGGUUCAAAUUUUAAGGUAUUAUGGUUGGAGAUUAGGGUUAAGAUGAUCUAUUGACUCCAUUAUUUUUUCAUUCAUUCACAUUUUCUUAAGAGUAAAGGUCUUGGGUUUAAGUUUCUUUUAUCGGGGGUUCUUGAGAUAGGUGAACUAGCUGAGGUACAACAUCAAGCUUUCCUUCUCCUUGGGUUGAUCAAGACUCACAAGAUCAAGUAAUCUCCUAUUCUCUAUUUGGGAUCAAAUUUCAGAGAAAAGUUUCCAACAUAUUGAGGACCACAACCUCGAGUUUAAGGUUAAUGUGAGGUUCUAGGACCAAGGGCCAAGCCUAAGGUCUUGAGGUUUGAUUUUUGAGGGUAUGAGGUUUGAGGCUUGGAUUGAUUUUCUAGGUCAAGUGAUCAAUAGUCCGAGUCCCCAAACCAAGUGUUAUGUGUUAUUAGGUUUGAGAUCUUAAUAAGAUUGAGGUUCGAAGAUCUUAGUAUUUUAGGGUCUUGAAAGCAAAAUGUUUUGCAAUAGCAAGUCAAUAGAUAGUUAAUUAUUUAGUGAAAAGUCAUACAUCACUUUAUACAUCCACAAAGCAAAACAUAAAUUACAAUGUAGUAGGAGAAAAAACAAGUCAAAAGUAGUCAAUGAGUAAACGUAUGGGGUUAAGUGUAUCAUUCAUAGUAUAAAUAAAGUCAAAGCAACCAAGGAGUAAAAACAAGAAUAAAAAAGGGUAUACGAUAAGUCAAUAUGGAGAUAAUAAGUAGAACUCUGAAUAAAUGAGCAUGGUAGUAUAUAAUAUUGUUAUACAAUUAUAAUAAAAUAUAUAAUAACCUGACCCGGGGUCUAACCCAAGAUUCGAUCGAUAAUAUUUUGGUUUAAAUAGUCCCAAACACUCAAACGAGGGAUGGUAUAGGAAAAAAACUUAUUAUCUUCUUCCUCUCCUCUCUUGGACCACAACUCUAUCAACAAUUGGUGUUAUGAGUGUGAAACCAACCUGCCACCUUCAGAAUUCACCAUUUUCUCUGAUGUUGAGUGUCAUCUGCUAUAAACUUUAGAGGGAUUAAAUGGAUGAAAAAAUGGAAGAGAUAGUGGAGAUGAAACAACACAGUUUAGUAGAAGAAAAUCAGAAAACACUAGAAGUUUUAAAAGACAUGGAGCAGUCUUUGCAAGAUCAAUUACAAGCUAAAAAAAGUGUAUCAAACAUGCAAAAAGUUUAUUGGAAACAGAAAGUUAAAAACAAAUCUGGGUAUAAAGAUCCAGCCGUUCUUGCAUCUGAAACACCUUGUAAGUUGGUUUUUCCUUUAUAUUUUAUAUCUGAUUGAAUAUAGCAUCUGCAAAUAUUUUGUUGAUUCUAUUAUUUGGGUAUUUAAUUUAAUUGUCUAAGAUCCAAGAAAAAAAAGCAUUAUUUCUUAUAAUUUAAGAGUUACUGUGAAUGAAGUAAAAGCUCUUUAUGAUCUGUUCAAGAGGGUAAGCAGCUCCAUAAUUGAUUAUGGUCUUAUUCAAAAGGAGGAAUUCCAACAUGCAGUUUUUAGAAACAACAAUAAGCAAAAUCUUUUUGCAGAUAGAGUAUUUGAUUUAUUCGAUGUACACAAUGGGGUUAUUGAAUUUGGAGAGUUUGUGUUCUUUAAGCAUAUUUCAUCCUAGUGCUCCAAUAGCAGACAAAGUUGCAUUCCUAGUCAAUUGUACGUCCUACGACAAACUGGUUACAUUGAGGGAGAAGAGGUAAAAGAAGAAAAACCAUGUUUGUUUCUGAUGAGCCUAUCAAAUACUCUUUUGUGGCUGCGUGGAUUCAUCUCUUUUAGUAGAUUAUAUGGUGUUCAUUUCAGAAUAUUGACUUCUUAUUCAUAUGGAUAGCGGGGUUUUGUUAUAGCUUUGGUUGCUUAAUUUAGUGAAAAAUGUUACGGUGGUUGGCAACUUUACAUAUUUUAGGUUGUUCAAUAUGAGUUUUAGAUCAAUCUGGUUAAAUCAUAAUAGGACUUGCUUAUGCUUUGGGUGUCUUAUUUGAGCGCGACACACAUUGAUUGCUAUUUUGCCACCUACAUAUGCAUCUUUUUCCAUGAGUAUCUCUCAUUGUUAAAACUAUGACUUGAAUUGUUUAAUCGUUUUUCUACUAAUUAAGUAUCGUAUAAUGUUAUCUAGUCAGUAUUCUCAUUUGUGCUAUAUUAAUUAAUUGUUCUUUUGGAUUAUUGCAUGAGUGUUUCCCUAAUGCUAGUAUUCUAUUUUGCUUGCUAUUUACUAAAAUUUUAUCCGAUAUUGUUUAGUUCACCAACCUGCAAGAACAUUAGUUCAUAUUCCUUUUGACUAAAGAGCUCUAACGAUUUUUCAGUGGUGUCGAAAAUAGUGGUUUCGAGGUCACUAAAUUCGGCGAGUAAGUUCGUACAUAUUAUUAUUUAAUAUUUACGAGUCAAAUGUGGUUUUAAAAAGAUUUUUGAUUCAGUAAUUUAUGUUUUAUAACGAUUUAUUAGGUUCAAGUGGUAAGACCCUAAUGUCAAGUGGUUUUAGAAAGUGAGGUUUCGGGAUCUCGUUUCUAUAAACCGAGCCAUAAAUAUUUUUAUAAAUAUUUUCGGAGUGUCAUUAGGGUUGUAUUAAAGUUUCGUUGAAAAAUUUUAACGUUUCGAUAGUUAAUUAAUUAAAAAGAACUAAAUCGUAAAAGAUGUAAAAUUUAGUCACUAUUUGAUUUGAGUGAUUAAAUGGUUUAUUGAAUAAGCAAAAGGGACUUAAACGGUAAUUAGACCAUUCAAGGGUUGGUGGACGUUAGUGGGCUUUUAAAUUGUUAAAGUUUGCUUAUAUUUAUAAGGGUAAAAUAGUAUAUUAUUAAAUAUGUAUAAUAUAAAAAAACAUAAUAAAAGCUCAUUAUCAUGUUCUUCAUUUUAAAAGCCACCAUCGAAACCCUAAAUGAGAAGAAAAAAUUCGACCAACUUUGGUUUGGUGAUUUGGUAAGUAAACUUUGUCUGUUUUUAAUAAUUUUUAUAUUUUUGAGAUUGUUACAAUUAGGUCUAGCUAACCAGUACCUUCGUUUCUGAGUUUGUUAAAAAUUUUAGAAGUUUAUAUUUAUAAAUAUUAGAUGUUUUUUAUGAAUAACAUAGAUUUGGAGCUUUGAUUGUGUGAUGAUUUUGUAAAGUGAUUUUUGUUAAAUAUUGAUUUUAGGAUUAAAUUGUGAAAAUGUCAAAACAUUAGGGUUUGAACGUGAACUUUAGGUUUAUUAGGGGCUGUAUGAGGGCCUAGAAUAUUUUUAUAGAUUAUUAAUUUGAGAAAAUUAGUUAAUUUGAUAGAUUAAUUAAUUAAGGGAUUAAAUUGUAAAAAUUGUAAAAAAUUGGGGUAAUUGUGUAAAUUAAAAAAAUAAAAGGGUACUAAUUUUAAAAUGGGUUGGAAAUGAAAUAUAUGCUAAUAAAUAAUUAAUUUUACAUUUUAGAUCAAGAUCCUGUAGAUACUCGUGGAAAAGGAAAAAUAGUGGAAUAGUCCUUAAACUUUUGUAAUUACUACAAUUCAUUAAGGUAAGUUUAUACGGUUAAAAUUUAACAUUUGUAUAAAUCGAUGAUUGGUAUUAUGUAUAUAUUGUUGGAAAUGAAUUAUUGUUUGAAUUAUAAUAUUGAAUUAAAUAUUCAGUUUGAAUUGAAUGUUGGAUUUGAGUACAUUCGUGAUUCGGUGUAUAACAGGGGUUUGGAGUGGAGAUGGUAUUGGAGGAAGAUAUCGACAUUUUACCCAAGUAAAUCGGGGUUCAGCAUUUGUUGCGAACUCUCGUGUUUUACUUUCUGUUUGGUGUGAUUGGGUGGAUCAGCUCUUACGAGCUUCUGUUCACCUUUUGAGCUUCUGCUAGCGUAUUCAAGAGGACCAACUCUUAUGAGCUUCUGUUGACGAUGUACUCUUAUCCAUAAGUCAUUCUUUGAAUAGAAAAAUCUCGGUAAUUUGAUUUAGUUAAUGAAUUUGAAAGACAUGUUAUAUAUUUUUGUAUUGAUUUGAAUACGGAUGUAUUUAUCGAUUGAAGUUGUGAAUGACAGGGAGUUGUCAUGGAUGAUUUAUUAUUAUUUGAUUUAUUAUAGUUAGUUCAGUAAGAUCUUUGUUCAUCUCGUCGAACUUACUAAGCUUCAUUAAGCUUACUUGUGUUGUUUAAUGUCAUUGUAGAUUUUCAGAAGGUUGGACGAUCGAAUCGGCACUCAAGUCACACUAUCCAGUUUAUCUCAGUAGUUUUUGAAACGUUAAAUUCGGAUUAUAUCACAUGUAUAGGCUCUUGUGCUAUUUCGGUUAAUGUUUGGCUUAUAUAAAUGUUAUAAAUGAUAUUUUGUGCAAAUAACCAAUUUGCAAAAGGUAUGAGAAUGAGGUAUAGUUGUUAUGCUAGUAUGUGUGGCUUACAUAUAUUUGAUUUGUUGUGGUUGUGGUAACUUUGUUAGGUAUUUUGAUUUGGUAUUGCUUGAAUGAGUUGAUGAAUUGAAUUAAUGUGUAUUUUGAGAUUAAAUUGUAUAUAAUUGUGGUACCAAUAAGGGUACAUUGGUUAGGCACAUAUUAGGUUGGUUUUGAUGUGUUUUUUACCCGAUUAAUGUCAUUUUGAUUUUGUAUUUUGGUUAGUAUUUGAGUUUCUUAAGGUCCAAGCAAUUUGAUUAUGUUUGUAUUAAUGUAUGAUUUGAAUGAUUUACUAUUCUAUUAUCCUAUAAUACUCCGUAACCCUAUUAUGACGACAGAUACGGGUUAGGGAUGUUACAUAGUUGCAGGUUUAUUUUAAUGAAUUUUAUGCAUAAACGACUUAGCAUUAACGUUUGAUUAUUGUAUCUUCUACAUUAAAAAUGUUAUUAAUUUGGUUCUCUGUUUGUGCCAAUUUUCUAUUGUUGUACCCCUAACAUUUUACAAGAGCACUGAUUGAAAAUGAUACAAUGCAUUGAACAUCCACAUUAUAAGUAAAACUUGUUGCUACAUCUCAAGCAUUUUUAGUGCUUCAUUACAUAUGAUACACAUGCAUACACAUUCAAUUGAUGCAAUUUUAUGCAUGUUCAUGAAAUAAUAAAAUCAUUUAACAUAAUUACUUCAAAUUUAUUUAUAUAUAGCGUUCAUACUACUAACGUUAUUAUUAUAGAAGGUAGCAUUUUGAGGAAUCAUUUUCAUGAUAAUAGUUGUAAUUUAUCUUAUCAUUUUCAUGAUAAUGGUUGAAUUGAUCAGUUAAUUAUUUACAAUAAUAGGUAAAGUUCUACUUUGGUGGAGUUAUAAUCUAUUGUAGUGAUUCCUUGUAAUUACACUGCUAUAAUGGAAUUGAUAAACUUAUUUGUUAGCAUUUUAUCAUUUUUCUUGAAUGCUUGUAUUAAAUGGAUGAUGUACAAGGUAGAGGUAGGUUUUUUCAAUAUGAGUGUUUAACAUAUAGGCGCAUUGUUGGUCCUUGUGCAUGUUGCUGAAAUAUUCUCAGUUUGCUUCUAAAUAGCUCAUUGAUUUAAUAUCGCAGCUAACGAUUAUUUGAGUUAGUUGAUUUAAUAUCGCAACUCCAAACAGCUCGCUGACCUACGUUCACAGCUGAUAUUAUUAAGGUUAGCUAAUUUAAGAUCGCAACCUAAGUUUAUUUUAGUUAGUUGAUUUAAGAUCGCAACUCUGAACAGAUUACUAACCUACGUUCACAGCCGAUAUUAUUAAGGUUAGCUGAUUUAAGAUCGCAACCUAAGUUUAUUUGAGUUAGUUGAUUUAAUAUCGUAACUCCGAACAGCUCACUAACCUUCGUUCACAGUUGAUAUUAUUAAGGUUAGCUUAUUUAAGAUUUCAACCUAAGUUUUUUUGAGUUAGCUAAUUUAAUAUUGCAAAUCCUAACAGCUCGUUGACCUACGUUCACAGCUGAUAUUAUUAAGGUUAGCUAAUUUAAGAUCAGAACCUAAGUUUAUUUGAGUUUGUUGAUUUAAGAUUUCAACUCCUAACAACUCGCUGACCUAUGUUCACAAUUGAUAUUAUUCAGUUUAGCUGAUUUAAUAUCGCAACCUAAGUUUAUUUGAGUUCGCUAAUUUAAGAUCACAACUCCUAACAGUUCGUUGAUCUACGAUCACAGCUGAUAUUUUUAAAGUUUCCUCGAUUUAAGUUCACGAUUUUUGAUAUUCCAACAAUUUAUUUGAUUUAAUCUCGCGACUAUCAUUUUUAAAGCUCGCUAAUUUAUUUGACAAGGGGAGGGACAAAUUUUUACUUAUAAGAAAUACAGUUCGCAAUGUUUUACAACACGGUUUAUUUUUUUUAAACCAUUCCUUUUAACUUCAGUAUCACACCAUCGAACAACAGAACCUACUUAUUAAAGUUUUGUAUGAAAACUUAAGUAGUAAGCCCCCAAUUACAUGUUCCAUGCAUCUAAGUUUGUCUUAGAAGAGUCACUUUAUAACUUUUCUUCGACAAGGUGGGGGCAAAUUGUUAUACAAUUAUAAUAAAAUAUAUAAUAACUUGACCCGAGAUCCGAUCUGAAAUAUCCAUAGUUUAAAUAUAUAAUAAAACUGUAACGUUAUCAACUUAAUCAAAUUUUUAUAUUAAAAUAUUUUUAUAUUUUUAUUUUGCUAUAGACACUUUAUUGUCUCCAUUGAUUGUAUAUCUAUACUAUUUAUUAAGCCUUUUAUUGAAUUAGUGUCACCCAUUAAUCGGGUUCCAAAUCAGUUAGAAAAUUACCAAAAAAUAUUUUUACUUGUAAAGUAAGUUAUAUGAUUAUGAGGGUUGUGAAAAAUAAAAUGUCGAUAAUGACAAUGUCUAUUUAUAGGUGUGUAAAAAAAUAAAGAACAUACAAUUUUUUACGUGGAAACCCUUUCGGGAAAAAACCACGAACAGAUGAGAAGAUAAUUCACUAUGUCGAUUUCGAAUGAUUUUAAGAGUAGUAGACUAUGUCUAUUUAUAGGUGUGUAAAAUCAUAUUCUAAUCAAAAUAAAAUAGAAGUAAUGCAGUAAGGUUAAAACACCUUAUUCAAAUCAACAUUAAACAGAGGAAAUAUACUUUUAUUCGAACUUCUCUUGCACAGUUGUAUUUUACCACUUGUAUUUUAUUUUAUCAUAAAUUUGGGUCACAUCUCUAACAAUCUCCACCUUGACACAAAUUCUUCAAAAAAACAAGUUCUUCAUUGCGAACUCUCAACGAACAAGUUCUCCACCUCUUCCAUAAACCCCCUUAAGGGUUUAACUUCAACAAUGAACACCAACCAAGUUUAAGCAAUGCUCAAACUUGGUUAUGGGAAUUGACUUAGUCAUAUAUCUACAUGAUUUUCACGAGUACUAAUUUUUCUCACAACAAUAUCACCAAGAGUAAUAAUAUCACGAACAAAAUGAUACCGAACAUCAAUGUGUUUUUUUCUCUCAUGAAACAUUUGAUAUUUUGUAAGAAAGAUAACACUUUGACUGUCACAAAAUAAUGUACUAAUUUGAAGGUCCUCAUUGAGUUCACUAAAGAAUCGCUUCAACCAAAUGGCUUCUUUACAAGCCUCAGUAAUCGUCAUGUACUCAGAUUCAGUGGUAGACAAAGCGACUGUAAUUUGCAAAGUGACUUUCCAACUAGUUGCACAACCUCCGAUUGUAAGGACAUAACCUGUGAGAGAUCUUCUUCUACCAAGGUCUCCAGCAAAAUCAGCAUCAACAUACCCAAUGACUCCAUUUCUAGUUCUUGCAAACUGUAAGCAAACAUCAGCAAUACCUCGUAGGUAUCUUAAAAUCCAUUGAACUGCUUUUCAAUGUUCUUUACUAGAAUUCGCCAUGUAUCUACUAACUGCCCUGACUGCAUGUGACAAAUCUAAACGUGAAUAAACCAUAGCAUACAUGAGAGAUCCUAUUGCACUAGAAUAUGAAAUAUGUGACAUGUACUCAAUCUCAUCAUCUGAUUAUAGAGGCAAAACCAAUGAAAGUUUGAAAUGGGCUGCUAAAGAAGUACUAACAAGCUUAGCACUCUGCAUAUUGAACCUACAAAGAACUUUCUCAAUGUACCCCUUUUGAAUUAGGUACAAUUUAUUUGUUCUUCUAUCUCUAAAAAUCUUCAUACCAAGUAUCUUCUUUGUUGGUCCUAAAUCUUUCAUCUCAAAUUUUUCACUAAGUUGGCUUUGACCUUUCUUAUCUCUCUUUUAUCUUUUACUACUAUCAACAUGUCAUCAGCAUAGAGGAGUGGAUACACAAAAGAACCAUCACUGUUUUUCUUAAAGUAAACACUACUGUCAAAGCUACUUCUUUUGAAAUCAUGAGAAGCCAUAAAGGAAUCAAACCUCUUGUACCACUGUCUUGGUUAUUGUUUCAAACCGUAAAGAGACUUUUUCAACAAGCAAACAUAGUCCUCUUUUCUAAGGCUGUAAAACCCUCUGGUUGUUGCAUAUAAGUAUCCUCCUCAAGUUCUCCACGCAAAAAUACAGUUUUUUUCAUCUAACUACUCAAGAUCCAAAUCAUGCAUGGCCACAAUACCAAGCAAAGCUCGAAUUAAACUAUGCUUCACAAUUGAGGAGAACACAUCUGUGACGUCUACUUCUGGAAUUUGAAUAUAACCCUUACCAACAAGCCUUGUUUUAUAUAUGGGUUUUUCAUUUCUUGGAGUCUCUUUUUUCUUUUUAAACACCCAUUUACAAUGAACAACCUUUUUGCCUUUAGGAAGUUUCAUAAUAUCCCAUGUUCUGUUUUUGUGGAGUGAUUCCAUCUCCUCUUGCAUAGCAAACUUGAGUCUUCAAAACUAACCGCCUCAGAAUAAGUAGAUGACUCUUGGUUUGAAUCUAUAUCUUUAGCCAUAUUUAAAGCAUAAGCAACUAGAUCAGCCUAGGCAUACCUCUUUGGAGGUUUAAUCUCUCUUCUAGUUUUGUUUUUGGCGAUAGAGUAUUGCGGUGAAAAAGCAACUCUAUUCUGAAUUUCUGUACUGACUUCAGGAGUUGAUUUUAUUGUGGAUUUUGGAUUAAUCUGUUGCUCUACUUACUUUAGUUGUUCUUUAUUAGAAGAGUCUUUAAGAGAUAAGUUAGAUAGCAUAGCAGUUUCAUCAAAAACAACAUCUCUGCUAAUCACAACUUUUCUAUUUUCAAGAUACCAUAACUUAUACCCAUUUACACCAGUUUUAUAACCAAUGAAAACAUGUUUAAUGGAUCUUGGUUCUAAUUUUCCAUUAUCAACAUGAGCAUACACAAAACACCCAAAGAUCUUUAAAUUAAAAUAAUCAACAGAAUUACCAAAUCAUACCUCUUAUGAAGUUUUUUUCUCAAUGGCAACAGAUAGAGACCGGUUGAUCAAAAAACCUACAGUAGAGGCUGCUUCGACCCAAAACAACUUUGGUAAGUUGGCAUUCGACAACAUACGUUGAACCUUCUUCAUGAUGGUUCUGUUCAUUCAUUCUGAAACACCGUUUUGCUGUAGAGCAUGACGAACUAGCAAGUGUCUCACAAUCCCUUCUGACUUGCAUACUUCUAACUUGCAUAGUUCAUUAAAAUCAUCAAAACAAAACUCUAAGCCAUUGUCUGUAUGGAGGCAUUCUAUUUGUUUUUCUGCCUAUUUUUUAAUAAUAGUUUUCCAAGACUUAAAUGCAGAAAAUACGUCGCUUUUCUACUUCAAGAAAAACGCCCAAACUUUUCUAAAAAAAAUCACCAAUAAGUGUUAACAUAUAAUUAGCUCCACCUCUCGAAGGCAUUCUAGAUAGCCCCCACAGAUCAGAAUGAAUAUACUGCAAUAUUCCCUUCGUGUUAUGGAUCCCUUUGGUAAAUCAAACUCUCUUUUCUUUCUCAAAAAUACAGUGCUUACAGAAAUUCUUUGCCCAUCAAGAAGUCCUAUUUUGCUCAAUUUUUCCAUGUUAUUCUCACUCAUAUGCCCUAAGCACAUAUGCCAAAGUCUAAUAAUAUCAUCAUCUGACAAGGAAGGGGAAGGGACAACUGCAUCACCAGCAACCGUAAAACCCUACGAAACAUAUAACUUGGCAGUCUUGCUCUUCCCUUUCAUCAUGACGAGGGAACCUUUGAAAAUCUUCAAAACCCCGCUUUCAGUUGUGUAUUUGUACCCUUUUGAAUCAAAAGUACUCAAUGAAAUCAAAUUUCUAUUCAAUUCUGGAACAUGUCGCACGUCACUAAGUGUUCUGAAAACCCCGUCAAAUAUAUUAACUUUAAUCGUUCCAACACCUGAGAUUUUACUCAAAGCAUUAUUUCCCAUCAAAACAACACCUUCAGACACUGUUUCAUAAGUUGUAAAACAAUCCCGACUGGGACUCAUGUGGAAGGUGUAUCUCGAAUCAAGGAUCCACUCUUCGCUCACUUUAGAAUUGUUAAUAGAAAUGGCUAGAAGUUCACCAUUGUUGUAGUCUUCUACAACAUCAACUUCACCGGAUUUUUCUAGUUGUUCGCUCUUUUGAUUCGCAACCUCCAUUUUGAUCUUGUUCUAUAGCUUAAAACACUCAAAUUUAAUAUGUCUCUUCUUCUUACAAAAGUUACAAGUUUUACUUCUAUUUGAAGACUUCGAUCUUUCCUUAGAUUUACCGCAAGGAUUCCGUUCUUGUGUCCUUCCACGAUCAUCAUCAACAUUUCGAUCUUGUCUCUUACGAACAAUGAGACCCUCUCCCUGAGAGACGAGUUUAACCACAAGAUGCUUCAUCUUAUCAUAAGAGGUCAAAGAAUCAUAAACCUCACCAAUUGUGAAAGACUCGCGGCUAUACAAAAUCGUGCCUCUAAAGGUUGAAUAAGAUGAGGGAAACAAAUAAAACAGAAUCAAACCUAGAUUUUCUUUAUCAUACUAAACCUCCAUGGCCUCAAAGUUUGAGAGAAUUUCUUUAAACACUAUUAAGUGUUCAUGCAUAGACGCACCUUCCUUCAAACGAUGAGCAUAAAGACAUUGUUUCAUAUGCAACUUGCUGGUUAGAGUUUUCAAUAUACAUAGUUGCUCCAGCCUCUUCCAUAAUGUAGUGGCGGUCUUCUCCUUCAUCACAUUCUGCAAAAUUUUGUUAGAUAAAUAUAGAUGUAAUUGCGUCAAAGCCUUUCGAUCCUUACGUUUCUCUUCUUCAUCCGUUAAUGUCGAAGGCAUUUUAUUUAUCCCUAGCAAGGCAUCUUCCAAAUCUAUCUGCGCAAGAACUGCUUACAUCUUAAUCUGCCACAAUGCGAAUCUGGUGCUGCGAUCCAACAACGAAAUUUUAUACUUCAGCAACGCCAUUAUCGUGAUCGAGAUAAGCAACUCGAAAAGCUUUGAUACUAAUUUGUGAAAAAUAGAACGUCGAUUGUAUUUUACCACUUGUAUUUUAUUUUAUCAUGAAUUUGGGUCACAUCUCUAACAAGGGUGUUAUUGUCUGUUCAUAUUUUAUAAAUCAAUAAAAAAUUAUCCAUAAUGAGAUUUAAACCAAUGACACCAUACAUAUAAACAUUUUUCAUUUACCAUUUGAACUAUAGCAAUUUUUUAUUUUUAUUUAAAAAUUUUAUAAAUAUAUUUACAUUCUAAAUUUUUAUAUAUUUGUAUAAAUAUAAAUAAUAUAAUUGAUUAAUUUAGUGUCGCAAAUGACUCCACACUCUUACGAGUGUGAUGAGAUUUCUAGUAUUGAUAAUAUUAGUGAUUGAAUUGAUGUCACAAGUUAACUCGAUAUCAACUCAAGAUUGAAGACAACAUCAUGAUAAAUAAUUGUAAUGCAUUUAAUAUUCUUAACCUGAUGUAUUUAUGUGUUUAAAUUUUUCUUUAAUCACAAUUUAAUUUAUUUUUUUCAUUUUAAUAUUUCCCGCAUUGCAUGUGUUGUUAAUUAAUUAGUUUCAAACAAUAUAUUUUAGUCAUUAUUGUAUUUUAUUUUUAAAUACACUCAUGUGUUCUUAAUGUGUAGUUUCCACAUGCAUAUGCGUGUGAUAGAUUUUAUAGCAAUUUUAUAAUAAUUAUUAAUUUAUUAUUUAUAAAUUUUGAAGUGAUUUAAUUCUAAACUUUAAUAUCUUAAUGCUCAAUUUGGCCCCGAAAUAUACUUGUUUUCCUACUUUGGUGCUUAGACCUUUUUUUUAAUCUCAAAUUGGUAUUUAAACUAUCAUUUCAUUACUUAGUUUAGUCCAUUUUUUUGUAACGAUGUUAAAAAAAUCGGUUGACAUGUUGCACCAAUUAGAAUGUGCCAUGUGGCAAAUCUAACCAGUUAAAUAAUGCCACUAGCAUUCAUAUUUAUUAAAAUUAAAAACAUUAAAUUUAAAUUCAAAAAAUAUAUAAAAAAGAAAAUUAUAUAUUUAAACAUUAGAAAAUACCUUUGAACUUGAUCCACCAUCGAUCGUAGUUGACUGAUGUUGGUCGACCGUUGACUUUGAAUUUUAAAUAUUUUUCAUAAAUAUCAAUAUUUUUAAAAAUAUAUAUUUUUUAUGCAAUAUUAGGGAUAGUGGAUGGGGUUAAUAUAAUUUAAUCCUAUGACAAACAAGUGUUGACAAGAGCUUUAAUCACCACACCACUCCAUUUAGAGGUGCUCAUGGGCCGGUUCAAGUCGGGCCUAAGCAUAUUAUUUUUAAUUUUUUUAAAAUAUUUAUAUUAUUUUAUUUUAAUAUUUAAUAAUUUUAUAUAUUUUUUAUUUAUUGUAAAUUUUGAUAUAGUCAUCUUAACAUUAUUUUAAUGUUAAUAUUAGAGUAAUAUUUUACUGUGUUCUAAAUUACAUAAUAUAUAAAAAUAACAUAAUAUAAAAUAUUAUAAACUUAAAAAUGGGUCGAGCCGGGCCAAGCUUUGGCCAUUAAAGUUCAAACCUAAGCCAGACCUAUAUUUUAACGGGUUUAAUUUUUUAACCCAGAUAUUUAAUAUUUUUAUUUAAACUCUCACAAUUUCGAGUAAACCUUUAGAUCUGGACGGGUAGUCUGGCCAUAAUAUAAUUUUUUAGUUGAACCUAAAAGACCCAUCAAGAAAGAAUUAGAAGAACGCGGAAGGACAAGGUGAAGGGACGAUAAGAAAGGCAAUCCAGAUAAGGCUAACCCUACUCAUACGGUGAGUGAAUCUAAAAGGUAGCCUCUAUCGUUCGGUCUUUGCUGUAGUUAAAUUAAUUAACUUCAUUUUAAUAUUGUUUUAUCUUAUUACAGUUUUAGUUAAAAUAUUUAUUUAUUCGUAUUUUAUAAUGCAAAUGAUUUAAAGAAAUAAUCCAAGCUUGCAACUUUCCACUCUCCAAAUUUGACGGAAAAUAAAAAGCAAAAGACUGACAAUCAAGCCAACCAAUCCCAAGUUAGACUAUUCCAACCCGUUCAUGAAAAUAAUGGAACCCGCCUUCAUACAAGUACUAGUCCAACUGCAACUUAUUAGACAAGGUCCUUCGUCAAAAUUAAUUUACUUCAAUCGCAUUCGUGAUUCAUCUCAAGCACAAGAAAUAUAUCUACCAAGGUAGAAAUAAUAGAAAAUAAAACUUCGUUCGCUGCAAAUAGACAAAUAUAGUUGUCUUAACAUGUGAGGAUGAGCAGCCAAAAAUUAAAAAAAUCAUCUAAACACUUUUCUCAGAUAGCUUAAUCCCUUGGAUGGCUCUUUAGCACAAGAAAACCCAAAGGAUUUUUCGUCGCUCAUUCCUCUCAACUCACCAAACAAAUCAUUUCGACUCACUCACAAAAAUUGAACUACCCAAUAACCCAUCUUGGAGAGCCCCCCAAGUACCUUCAACUUUGACUAAGAACUCAUGACAACAAGGUUUAUAUUAUUAAACCACUACUACUAUUACCUAACCGCAAAACUUAUGGGCACAAAAUGUUGAGGGGGGCUACUUUUUUGCAAAAAUCGAAGUCAUCAGUGCUAAAAUCACAAUCAGGUAGUUCACUGGGUUCAUUUCCUUCGAUCCCACAAAUGCUCAGGUCUUCAAUGCUGCAAUAAUCCUCCAAAAUCACCCGAGAAUCAUUGACAAAAAGAUAAUCGGAUGGCUCUUCAUCUAAGUUCAGCUCUUGUCCAACUGAUCCAGACAAAAGUGGAUCAUCAAGGAAACAUAAAUCGGGAAUCACUAAAUUGGCAAAGUUAGCAUCAAACCCUUCUUUGUUCGCAUUCCCAGAAUCAUGGUUGCUGUUAAAGAAUGAAACAGACGCAGAAGUAUCCAAUUCGAGCACUGAUGAAGGUGUAGUAUGGGAUGAAGGGCUCACAGACUCUUCAGGUACUGAAGCAACAGAAUUGCUAGUGUGAGAAGUAGAAGCAGAACAAGAAAUGUCAUAGGUUUUAUCGGAGGAAGCAGUAGCUGCAGCAACAGCAGCAACAGCCAAAGCCUCGAAUUCGAGCUUUUUAGCAUCAUAUGCCCUAGCGGCAUCUUCAAGGGUAUCGUAAGUUCCCAACCAAAUCCUGGUUUUCUCCAGUGGGUGCCUGAUCUCGGCAGCCCAUUUGCCCCACUUCCUUCGACGAACGCCAACAGGUAUUUUGGCUUCAACCACAAGGGCACAUAAGUUUCAUCUCCUAAACAUUUUUUUUUACAAUUUGAGAUAAUUUUUCAAAGUCAAAACAAGGGAACCCAAAAUCAUUCUGACAUUGUCUCUCAAAAAAUCAUAUACCUCAUAAUAUACUAAUCAUUUACUUACACCGUUUCUUUUAUGCUAAACUAGACUCAAUAAAUUUUAAUUCAAUUUUAAUUCAACCUAUAAAUCGAUCUCUACAAUUUUUGGUGAAUUUUCAAAAUUGAACUACUACUGUUGUCUAAAACUAUUUUAGUGAAAAUUUUACUUAUUAUCACUCAUAUCAACAUUUAACACUUAUUUCAUUUAUCAAACUAUUAGAUUAUUGUACAAGAUCAUUUGAUUGUACAUAACAUUAUACUUUUGAUUAUUAUUCGAUUUAGUCCCUUAAAGCUUACAUGUAAACUUAAUUACAUUAUCACUUUCCAUAUUAUAAUUCAUAUCACUUUCUUUUCACAGUUUACAAUAUUUACAUUAUUUUGCAAUCUAGUCCUUAAUAUUAUAAAAACUCAAUAAUUAUUAUAAUUGUUCUGCUAACUUCACUUCUCAUUCAAUUUCACUAUCACAUAACACCUUAAUCAAAUGAUUUAUUAUAAUUUCUUACUUCACAUAUUUGAUUUUUAUGGACUUCACUUCAAUCAUUUUUAAUUUUAAGUUUCUCAAAGUUUACAAUUUAGUCCUUAGCAUCAUGAAAAUUCAAUAUUUACCAUAAUUUCACUUUAACAUCACUUUGUAAAUAAUUCACUAACACCUAACACAUCAUUUAAACUCUUUAUCUUAAUACCUUAUUUAAAUCAUAUUUUUUUGUACACAUUAUAAUUUAGUCCUUUUACUAUUAUUUAAAUAUAUCAAAUCAACUCAUUACAUAAUAUUAGCUUAUUUAUAAUUAGUUCAACUAUUUAGCAUAACCUAUACUUGAUUAAAAUAAAAUAAAAUAAAAUCCUUGAAGUACUUACCUUGUCUCUUUAAUCUCUUCAUUUUUCCACAACUUUCUCCACUUCCACUUACAAUUUCUUUCUUUCAAGAUGAUAUUAUAACUCUCUUGUAUCUCUACUUCACUUCUCCUUUGGGUGGGUAAAAGAAUUUUUCAAGGAAUUUAGGAGAAAAGGUGAGAUUUCAUGGUAAGGGACCAAUUUGUAAAGAAAUGAAAGUCCCCUUCCAUGUAUAUGUAAGUGGCGUUGGAAGCAUGAAGAAUUUUCUUCAUGUUUCCAUACAAAUAUCUUAUUUAAUUUAUUAAUUAAAUAAUAAAAUAUCUUAUAAAAUAAUAAAUAUUCAACCAAUCAUAAUUUAACACUUUUCUUUCUUAAUUUUUACACCAUAUAAUUAUCUAAUUUGAGUAAUGACCAUUUUAUCCUUCAUGUUUCUUCAAACUUCAUCUUUAAGUCACUAUUCACUUUUGGUAAAUUACAAUUUAGUUCUUCAUGUUUCUUCACUUAUUCAAUUGGUCCCUACACACUAAUUUCAUGACAUAAGAAAUUUGGAUUAUUUUCUCUUUUUUUCCUUCAAUUUUUCUCAUUUUUAUAUUUCAUUCCUCCAAAUUUCAAAUAAUUAUACUUAAAUAUCAAAACUUUUUACAUCUUUAUGAUUUAAUUCUUACUUUAAUUUAGUAUAUUACAACAUACUUUUCAAUUUAAAUUUCUUUAAUACUCCUCAACCUUCUCUUUUAUCACUUUCAUUUCCUUAUUUUAUUUUAUCGAGAAAUCAAUUGUACAUUAUCUCGAUUUAUAAUUGCUUUAAAAUAUAAAAAUUUUAGGGGUGUUACAAGUAAAUUCCUUGGUUUUACCAUCAAAAUAUUGAAAAUAUCUUAAAAUAUAUAUUAAUGAUUCUGAGGUUCAAAUUUUAAGGUAUUAUGGUUGGAGAUUAGGGUUAAGAUGAUCUAUUGACUCCAUUAUUUUUUCAUUCAUUCACAUUUUCUUAAGAGUAAAGGUCUUGGGUUUUAAGUUUCUUUUAUCGGGGGUUCUUGAGAUAGGUGAACUAGCUGAGGUACAAACAUCAAGCUUUCCUUCUCCUUGGGUUGAUCAAGACUCACCAAGAUCAAGUAAUCUCCUAUUCUCUAUUUGGAUCAAAUUUCAGAGAAAAGAAAGUUUUCCAACAUAUUGAGGACCACAACCUCGAGUUUAAGGUUAAUGUGAGGUUCUAGGACCAAGGGCCAAGCCUAGUCUUGAGGUUUGAUUUUUGAGGGUAUGAGGUUUGCGGCUUGGAUUGAUUUUUCUAGGUCAAGUGAUCAUAGUCCGCGUCCCCAAACCAAGUGUUAUGUGUUAUUAGGUUUGAGAUCUUAAUAAGAUUGAGGUUCGAAGAUCUUAGUAUUUUAGGGUCUUGAAAGCAAAAUGUUUUGCAAUAGCAAGUCAAUAGAUAGUUAAUUAUUUAGUGAAAAGUCAUACAUCACUUUAUACAUCCACAAAGCAAAACAUAAAUUACAAUGUAGUAGGAGAAAAAACAAGUCAAAAGUAGUCAAUGAGUAAACGUAUGGGGUUAAGUGUAUCAUUCAUAGUAUAUAAAGUCAAAGCAACCAAGGAGUAAAAACAAGAAUAAAAAAGGGUAUACGAUAAGUCAAUAUGGAGAUAAUAAGUAGAACUCUGAAUAAAUGAGCAUGGGUAGUAUAUAAUAUUGUUAUACAAUUAUAAUAAAAUAUAUAAUAACCUGACCCGGGGUCUAACCCAAGAUUCGAUCGAUAAUAUUUGGUUUAAAUAGUCCAAACACUCAAACGAGGGAUGGUAUAGGAAAAAAACUUAUUAUCUUCUUCCUCUCCUCUCUUGGACCACAACUCUAUCAACAAUUGGUGUUAUGAGUGUGAAACCAACCUGCCACCUUCAGAAUUCACCAUUUUCUCUGAUGUUGAGUGUCAUCUGCUAUAAACUUUAGAGGGAUUAAAUGGAUGAAAAAAUGGAAGAGAUAGUGGAGAUGAAACAACACAGUUUAGUAGAAGAAAAUCAGAAACACUAGAAGUUUUUAAAAGACAUGGAGCAGUCUUUGCAAGAUCAAUUACAAGCUAAAAAAAGUGUAUCAAACAUGCAAAAAGUUUAUUGGAAACAGAAAGUUAAAAACAAAUCUGGGUAUAAAGAUCCAGCCGUUCUUGCAUCUGAAACACCUUGUAAGUUGGUUUUUCCUUUAUAUUUUAUAUCUGAUUGAAUAUAGCAUCUGCAAAUAUUUUGUUGAUUCUAUUAUUUGGGUAUUUAAUUUAAUUGUCUAAGAUCCAAGAAAAAAAAGCAUUAUUUCUUAUAAUUUAAGAGUUACUGUGAAUGAAGUAAAAGCUCUNNNNNNNNNNNNNNNNNNNNNNNNNNNNNNNNNNNNNNNNNNNNNNNNNNNNNNNNNNNNNNNNNNNNNNNNNNNNNNNNNNNNNNNNNNNNNNNNNNNNNNNNNNNNNNNNNNNNNNNNNNNNNNNNNNNNNNNNNNNNNNNNNNNNNNNNNNNNNNNNNNNNNNNNNNNNNNNNNNNNNNNNNNNNNNNNNNNNNNNNNNNNNNNNNNNNNNNNNNNNNNNNNNNNNNNNNNNNNNNNNNNNNNNNNNNNNNNNNNNNNNNNNNNNNNNNNNNNNNNNNNNNNNNNNNNNNNNNNNNNNNNNNNNNNNNNNNNNNNNNNNNNNNNNNNNNNNNNNNNNNNNNNNNNNNNNNNNNNNNNNNNNNNNNNNNNNNNNNNNNNNNNNNNNNNNNNNNNNNNNNNNNNNNNNNNNNNNNNNNNNNNNNNNNNNNNNNNNNNNNNNNNNNNNNNNNNNNNNNNNNNNNNNNNNNNNNNNNNNNNNNNNNNNNNNNNNNNNNNNNAAUUGGUUUAUUGGUGGUUUAAAAUGUAUCUAUAUUUGUUAUAUAACUUAUUUUGUAAUCUAUUUGACAAAUGAUAAAAAGUAAUUCGGUUACUAUGUGAGGUGAAUUAUGAUUUGCGCAGCAUAUUUGUAUUCGACAAUAAUAGAUAAAAUAUAUUUAUGUCAUGGGUGAAUGGUUAAACACUUGGGUUUAGAAUAAAGUGUAUAUUUAGUAAGGUUUGUUGGAAAAGAAAUAACAGGUUUUGGUUUAUAUCGAAUAGAGAAAAUUUGUAUCAUCUUUGUGGCUAAUUUUGUUAGCUGUGAGGGAGAUGAAUGGAUAAUGUAUAUAUGUGACAAUUAGCUUACUAGUUAGUGAUCAAUUGAUAUAUUACAAUAGUUUAAAAAGGAAAUUUUGACGAUGAAUAUGUAAUGAUACGGAUCAAUUCAGUACUCAGGAUGAAUUCAACAAGUAAUUGAAAAUUUAUAAAUUCAUACGACGAGGAAGUGAAAGCUUGUGAGUAUAUAUAGCCAAGUAAACCCUAAUUAAGGACUCGAGAAUAAUAAUUUGAAAGUUUUAAUUUAGGUGAAAUUUUACAACUCCGUUUACUACGGUUAAAAGUGUAUAUGUUCUGAUAAUACCUCGUACCCUAUUCCGGCAUCGAAUACGGGUAAGGGAUGUUACAGUAGUAGUGUUAUUCACACUAAAAAUUUGGAGGCACUACUUGGAUAGUGAGAAAUUCUACAUCUAUACCGAUAAUAAGAGUUUCAAGGUAUCUUCUCACCCAAAACGAAUUGAACUUGAGGCAACAAAGGAGGAUAUAACUAUUAAAAGACUAUGACUGUGUAAUUGAAUACCACCCCCCAGAAAAACCAAUAUAGUGGUAGAUGCUCUAAGUAGAAAACAGAUGACCGAUUUAAGAGAAAUGUUUUCUAGGUUAAGUUUAGUGGAUGAUAGAGGCUUACUAGUUAAACUAAAAGUUGAAACCCACUUUUGGUUAAUGAUAUUAGGCUAAACAAUUAUUAGAUGUGUUAUUGUUGCCAUUGAUUAAUUAAGUGAAGAUGGAAAAUUUUGAGGAUUAUGGGUUUAAUUACGAGGGUAUCUUGUUCUUCGUGAGAUGUAUUGUUUGCCAAACGAUAAGGAUUUAAAAUAUUCCAUACUUCAGGAAACACAUGCUAGCCCUUAUGCUAGGCAUCCUAGAGGAAACAAGAUGUAUCAGGAUUUAUAGUAAUUGUACUAGUGGUCUAUACUGAAACUGAAGUGGUAGAAUUUGUAGCUAAGUGCCUAAUGUAUCAGCAAGUGAAGCUGGACACCAAUUUCUUUCGGUUUAUUACAACUGAUCAAACUACUACAGUAGAAGUGGGAGUGAAUAACGAUGGACUUUCUUAGAGGGUCACCUUUAGCACCCACUAAGAAAUAUUCAAUUUGGGUGACAGUAGAUAGAUUAACUAAGUCAACUCAUUUCUUACUUGUUCGUGCGAAUUACACAUUACAAAAGCUGGCUAAGUUAUAUAUUUUGGAGAUUGUAAGGUUGCAUGGGGUACUUGUAUCAAUUAUUUCAGAUCCAAGUCCCUGUUUUACAUCUCAAUUUUGGAAAAAAGCUAUAUGAGGCACUAGGUACUCGUUUGGAUUUUGGUACUUAUUUCCAUCCGCAGACUGAUAGACAAUCUGAACAAGUUAUCCAGAUAUUAGAAGAUAUGAUAAGGGCCUGUAUUAUCAAAUUUGGAGGUAGAUGGGAGGAGCAUUUUCCUCUAGCUAAAUCCGCCCAUAAUAAUAGCUUCCAAUUGAGUAUAAAAAUGGAACCUUAUGAAGCAUUGUAUGGUCAUAAGUGUCAAACACCACUUUGUUAAACUAAACUAGGUGAAAGGAAAACUUUUGGGUCCUGAAGUGGUGCAGGAGUCUGAAGGGAAAAUUAGAUUAAUUCAGAUAGACUAAAAGUGGCUUUGGAUAGGCAAAUUUCUUUUAUGAAUCUUAAAAGGAAGGACAUUGAAUAUAGUGUUGGAGAUCAAGUCUUCUUGAAAGUGUCUCCAUGGCGAAAAGUGUUAACGUUCGGACAAAAGGGCAACUUAAGUCUUAGGUUCAUCGGACCUUACAAAAUCCUUGAGGUGAGACCGAAUUUGUCCUUUGAGAAAGAACCUGAAAAAAUUCUAGACCAUGAAGAAAAUUUUCUGAUAAGGAAAUUGAUUCCAUUUCUUAAGGUUUUGUGGCGAAACCAUGAUACUGAGGCAGCCACAUAGGAAUCAAAAGAGAAGUUUCGUCAACAGUAUACUUAUAUGUUCGAACCAGAUAAAUUUUAAUGAUGAAAUAUCUUUAAGGAGAAAAGAGUUGUCACGCCCCAAAAUAUAAUGGGUUAAUUUAAAUGGUUAACAAAGAAAUGAAUUAGACUGGAUGGUUGAAUAGUUAGUGCCCUUCCUAGAGGUUCUAGGUUCGGGCUACCCUUCUCUCAUUUCUUUUUCUUUUUUUUUUGUAACCUAGGAUAAAAGCCACACUAAAAUAUAUAUUGUCUAAAAUAAAAAAAACUAAGAAAUAGGCAUUAAGCCUAAUGCUUAAAACACUUGUAUCCUUCCUUGUGAACCCGAGUUCGAGCCAUGCAUCUCCCUUCUAUUUCCUUUUAAUUCUGCCCAAAUUUUGGGAAAAUUUCCCUUGCCACCCUAAGUUUACAAACCCUGGGCCUAUUAGCCAUUCCUUUUCCCAUUUUAAAUAGGAUUACUUCUUGAUAAAUAUUUUGCUACUCGAAUGAAAUUAAUCUACAUUCAAUCAUUCAUUUCAACCAAUUUCGUAAUUGCCAUCAAUAGCAUCCCGAUGUUUGCCAAGAAAGGGUAAGUACAUCUUGUUCUGAAGUUUAGAUCACGAAGUUUUGUAGAAUUUCUUUCCAACGCUAAUCUUGUGAUUAAUUAAAUAAUCUUUUAUGGUUCUUGUAAAAUUCUUCGAUAGUCUUGACAAAUUAUGUAACCAACCAUUAAUUCGUGAAUAAAUGUCAUUUGGAGGACCAUAUUUAGGUGAAUCAGAUCAGAUUUAAUCGCGAGGAACGUCGAUCAAACCCCCGGUGAAAGGUGUGUGUUUUUACCAAGUGAGUCGGGGUAAACCAUGUGUAGGUUUAAGGUCACACGGUCUCCCACACAGGCGUGUGGACCAUACAGCCAUGUCCUACUGUUACAUUAGGGUACUUCGUUUUACACAUGGCCAAUAACCCUCCACACGGCCAUGUCUAUAACUGCUCAUUUUUUAGUGGUUUCGAGGCCACCAAAUUCGAGGAGUAAGUUCGUAAAUAUUAUUAUUUAAUAUUUACGAGUUUCAAACAUGGUUUUUAGAAAGAUUUUUGAUAUAGUGAUUUUUGUUAUAUAAGCGAUUUACUAAGUUCAAGUGUUUUGACCCUAUGGUCAACUGGUUUUAGAAAAUGAGGUAACAAAAUCUUGUUUCUAUAAACCAAGCCAUGCAUAUUUUUAUAAAUAUUUACGGAGUGGCAUUAAGGUGGUAUUAAAGUUUCGUCGAAAAAUUUUGACGUUUCGAUGGUUAAUUAAUUAAAAAGGACUAAAUUGUAAAAGAUGUAAAAUUUAAUCACUAUUUGAUUUGAGUGAUUAAAUGGUUAAUUGAAUAAAGAAAAAGGGACUUAAAUGGUUAUUAGACCAUUCAAGGUGUUAGUGGACAAUAAUGGACAUGAAUUUGAUGUUUUAUUUAAUUAUUAACUAAGGUUAAUAUGGUAAUUUGAUCAUUAUAUUAAAAUAAAUAAAAUAAAAGUUUUAUUCAUCUUUUUCAAAGCUUCAUCACCGAUUAGAAAAUGCGGGAAGAAGCCAUUUCUUUUGCUUUGAGGUUUCAAAAACUUUACAAGAAAAAUUGGUAUGUGAUUUUAACCUCGUUUCUUGUAAUUUUUAUGUUUUUGAAAUCGUUGUAACUAGGUCCAACUAGCCCGUAACUUUGAUUUUGAAACUGUUAAAGAUUUUUUAUAUUGUCAUUGAUGAACCUUGUGAUUUUAGAUUUUAAAUAAUGAAUUUGAAAUAUUAGUUGUUAUUUAAAAGUAUUUUAUUAAGUGAUUUUUAUAAUUUUUUUGAUUAGGGACUAAAUUGUUAAAAUAGUAAAAAUACAAGGAUUAAAUGUGAAAUUGUAGCAUUAAAGGGAAUUUUUUUGAUACCAUGAGUAUUUUUCUAGGCUCAAUUUUGGUUAAAAAUGGUUGAUUUGCAUGUUUUGGGCUCAGGGACUAAAUAGAAUAAAACUAAAACUAUAGGGCCAAUUUUGUAAAAAUGUCAAAAAGACCAAAAUUGCAUGAAAUACAUUUUUUACUAUCUAAAUUGAUAAAUGGAAUGAAAUUAUUAGUUUAGAUCAAGAUCGGGAGGAAAAUCAAGGAAAAUGGAAAAUUACCAAAAUGCCCCUGACCUUUGGUAUUUCUACAAUUUAGCUAGGUAAGUUCGUAUGAAUUGUAUAGUUUUGAUUAAAUAGAAUGUUAAUAUAUGAUUAUGUUGUAAUUAAAUCAAUAUAUAUUAGUAUGCAAUUUAUCGUGUUAUAAACGACGUAAAUCCAACGACGUACGACGAUUACCGAGCCCCGUUUGAACCUUAGGAAUUUGUAGGAUACAAGUGACAUUUCAUUAGGAUUUACAUGAUUCAAGCACUGGUCUUGAACGACCUCCUGAUGGCUGAGGUCCGGUAUGUGUUGCGGAUACUCCACAGCUCGUGUGAGCAUACAUGUAUAGGAAUUGACGGAUUACAGUUAUACGAGUUAGAAAACUAUGUGUGAGCUAUCCCCGAUAUCCAAUGGUAUUCUAAAUGGUUCAACGGGCACUAUACGGGUUUGAAAUGGUAAGAGAACGAUGGGAAAUAUAACAUGUACAUAUGUGAAAAUCCUUGAUAUGAUGAUACAUGGAAAUUAUAUAGGUUGAGAUGAGUUAUAAACUCAUGAGAUACAUGUUGUGGCUAAAUGGCUAUUUAUAUUAAUGUGCCUAAGAUUUAUAUCUUGUAUGCUAACAUGUUUGGUGUAAAUGCUUAGGCUUUGGCCAAGUUGUGGUUGGAUUAUGCCAUGUUAAACUUAUAAGUUAUGCAUUGAAAUCGUAAGUGCCCAAAUGGAAAUAUCCUUGUAUUCAUGAAAGAGUGGUAAGGUUUAAAUUAUGUAAUUUCUUAUGAAAGGGUUUAUCAUGUGAUUAAUUCCAAAAUAGCUAUGUUUAAAUGCACUAGCUUGUGGUUGUGGUUGAUCAUAUACUUAUGUCUUUUGUGUUUUGCAUAUGAAACGGGUGUGGAAAAGUAAUGAAAUAGUAAGUUCACACUUGAAGUGUAAAAUGAUGAAAAAGGGAAUGAUGAGUUGAACUGAUGUUAUUUAAGCUAAAAAGGGUAAAUUCAAUAGAAAGUAAUGAAAUACAAAUGAAAAUAAGAAAAUUUGAAAGGGUUUAAAUUUAUUUAAAAUCCUACUAUGCUAGGGAUGAUAUGUAUAUAUGAUGUUGUGGAUUUAUUCACUUUGUGAAUUGUUGAAUAUGGUUUCAUGAAUCUUGCGGUAUCGGUAUAGAAUUAUUCUUCAUACGUAUAAAUUUCAUAUUUGAUAUGGAUUAAUAUGACUAAAGUUUAUACGAGCUUACUAAGCAUUCAUUUCUUACGUAUUUUUUUUUCGGUUACUUUUCAGAUUAUCAGAAGCUCAAUUAGGUUGGAAGUUCAUCGGAGAUCUAUCACACUAUCCAGCAGUUAUAUUGGUAGAUCUUGAUAACUUGGUUAAGGUUAUAAUGGCAUGUAUAGGUGAACUUAUGGUUGAUGAUUAGUUUAAUGUUAAUUGAUGUGUUUGGCAUGUAUAUGUCGUUUUGGGUGAUGUAGCCUUAGUACAUUUGGUGACUUAUUGAUAUGUGUUAAUUUGAUAAUGUGUUAAAGCAUAUUUGAAUGGCCAAAAUGAUAUAUGAUGAAUUGACCUCAACAUCGUCAAGAUAUGGUAUGCUUUACAAAGGUUUUGAACUAGAUAUGGCAUCUAAUAUGGUAUGGUAAUUAUGUAUCAAUUAUGUGAUGUUUUGGCAUGGACACAAGUUAAUUGAUAAUUGGAUAAAUAUGCACAUGUAUAGGUGUUUUUGAUUGAUGUUUUAGCCAUUAUGCAUUGGCUUGUAAAUUUGGUAUUUUGAGUGGUUGAAAUGGUUGAUAUGUGGAUAUAUGUACGUAGCCUUUUGAUGGUUGAAUUUAUAGUUUUUAUGAUAUUUAGAUGAUGGAAGUUGAACAUGGUCAUUUUGGUAUUAAAAAUGUAGUUUGUAUUUGUAGCUUAUGAUGAUAAAUGUUAAAUGGUAAAUUUGGUACAUAUGAGUGUGGAUUUGAUAUGUGUACAAAAUGGUAAUUUUUGGGUAAACUAAGCAUUUAGUUAUACAUGUUUAAUUGUUGUGAUUGAGGUACCUUUUGGGCAUAUUGGUUGAAUGAUUAUGUACCUAUUUGGAUAGCUUGUUGUUGCAUGGUUUGGUGCACUUUGGCAUGCUUUAUUUCAUAUGGUAAAUUGGUUAUAGGUGUGUGCAUGAAUGGGUGAUAAAAAUGGCUUGAAAAUGGUCUAUUUUUCAUCCACACGAUCAGAACAUGGGCGUGUGUCUCAGCCGUGUGUGACACACGACCAGGCAACACGGCUGUGUGUCCCCUAUAGGUUUUUAAAGGUUGCAUUUCGAGAGUUACAUGGCCUGGCACACGGGCAUAUGGCUUGGCCGUGUGACGCAAGUCAGAGAGUUACAUGGUCACAGGCACGAGGUGGGACACAAUCGUGUGUCCCUAUUUCGAAUGCCCACAUGAUCUAAGACACGAGUGUGUGUUUCAGUCAUGUGAGUCACAUGGCCUAACUAGACGGCUGUGACCCCUACAGUUUGAAAAAAAUUCUUUUUUUCUUAAAAGUUUUAUAUGUUUUCAAUUUAGUCCUGAAUUGUUUCUAAUGUGUUUUUAGGGCCUCGUGGGCUUGUGUAAGGGACAAUAUGUAUGACAUUGAUUGGUUUUACUAUGAUUAAGGUUGUGAAGUACAUGUUUAAAAAUAUUUGAUAGUUUUGAAAUGUAAACUUCGGUAAUGCUCUGUAACCCUAUUUCGGCGACGAAUACGGGUUAGGGGUGUUACAAUGUCUCCCCUGUAGGGUAAUUUUUACGUUUGCCACACGGCCACAAUUUGUUACACGAUCUAUCCAAACAGCCGUGUAACCCUUCUACACGACCUAUAACUUCUCACACAGCUUGGCCAAAUGGCCAUGUGACUGUUGUUUUACAGUUUUUGCCAGAAUUUUGUGAACUAUUCAUUUUAGUCUUUGUAUAGUCCCCAAACUAUUUUUAGUAUUUUAUUUCAUUGAAUUGAAUCUUUGAUAAUAUACAUAAUGUUGGAAUCCAUGAUUUGAAUGACUAAAAUAUUAUUGUAUAUGCAUGAUAUGUGAAUGUUACAUGUCUACCAUCACCGUGUUUCUGAUAAACUAUUAUUGUUGUUAUUACUCUUACCAUUGUAUUACCAAUGUCAUCAUCAACAUGCCUACUAUUACUAUUUAAUUGAACACAUGUUAAGCAUGUCUACUGCUCUUGUUAAACUGAAUACAUGUCAAGCAUGUCUACUGUUUUACAUGAUACAGUUAAAAGCAUGUCAUACAGUGUUGCAUAGGGGGACAAUAUGAAAGGAUGAAGUACUGGCCAUUUAAUAAUCUGGAACAUUGGUGGUUCAUCCACAAAUUACUGAAAAAUUUUAUCAACAAAUGAGUUUUGCAUUUACAACAAGUGGCAAUUUAUUUGCAUAUUACUGGUGGUUCAUCCACAAAUUACUGACAACUUUUACCUACAGAUAUGUUGUGCAUCCACAACAAGUAGCAUUUUAUUUGUCAAUGUUUUUAACUGAAAAUAUUGGUGGUUAAUUUAAAAUUUUUACUACUGGCAGUUUUUCGGCAUAUUACUGGUGGUUUAUCCACAAUGCAGUGUGUAGGGAUGGAUGAGUUAUGGGGAACUUUUACUGUAGUGUGUACCGGAGUUGGGUAGGUUCUUUUCUGUUAAACUGACACUACAUUGCAUUCAUAAGCAUAUGUAUAUCAAACUGUGGAUACUGAGAUACUAUAUUGAUGAGUUGAUCUGAAAUAUCAAUAUUCUAAAUGGCUAUUCAAAUCGUGAUUAUUCUAUGAGUUGUUAUUCUAUAGGAUUUGUCUACUGUUUGCAUUGAUUUUCUUGUGAUUGAACUCACAUUAAGCUUCUUAAGCUCACUCCCCUUAUUUUCCAUCUUUACAGAUAACCCACCAGGUUAGGAUGCGAACUUGGCAUACAUAAGGCUCGGCUCAGAUUGUUUUUUGCAUCAAAGUAUCUUAGAUUUACUAUUUGAAAUUUCUGCUAUUUUGGAAUUGUAUUGCUUUAUUUAAAAUGUGGCAUGGGACUUUGAUUUUAGGUUUAUUUAGCAUGCAUGGUAUUUAAAUUGAAUUUAGGGUAUUGAAACAUGGAUUUAGAAUUAAUUAUGCAUAAAAUAAUUCUGAUUUUACUUUAUUAAAAUUAAGUUGAAUAUCACUUUUCCGCUGCUAGAUUAUAAAUAAUAUUUUAGAUAAUAGAUAAAUUGAAAAUUAGCUAAGUUUUCAAAAAUAGUCACCGUUACAAGGAAAAUAUUAAACUUAAUAGGUUUUUAUUAACUCAUGAUUUUUUUUUUGAAAAUGAGCUAAGUUUUCUUCUAAGAUAUACAAAUGUUUUAAAAUGAUUGUUUCAUAAACGCUGUUAGCUUUUGGGUCAUUUCGAUGGUCAAUGUAAUGUUCUGAAUUUGGGUCUAACGUCUAGGCUGAAUUAAGGAAGUUACAAAUAUAAUAUAAUACAUAGUUUUGGAGCAUUAAUUGUAAUUCAAAACCUAAAUCAAUAUGCAUUUGAAUGAACAUUGUUCAUGGAAAAAAAUUUACCUUUGUCCAAACAAAGAAUAAAUUUUUAGUAACAAAUAAUAUACACUGAAAUUUUGUAUUCAUCCAAUUGUUAUUUAAAUAAUAAUUAUUUUAUAAAACACAUAAACAGCGUACACUGUAUGGGUAAAAAUAAUAAUAUAAUCUACAGCAAUAUUUUCAGGUUAAAAUGAAAAUAACCUUAAGUGAAGUGAAAUAGUUUUUUAUUCGACAAGUGGACGUGCUCUUUAUAUGACACUAACUUUUGUAAUGAUGUGACUCCCAUUUUUUGAAAUUACAUUUUCCUACUAAUUGUUAUAAUAGUAAUUUAUUUAAAACUAAUGGACACAUAAUUUAUCCCUAUAAAUUAUUACAUGUUAUAGUUCGGUAUUCUGAAUUUCCUAAAAUUCUAACUUAUUUUUGUAGAUGAUAGUAAUUAAAACACCUAUUUAGUUUUUCAAUAAUUCUCUAUUUAAUCUUACAAUAUCAGUCCCUUUUGUUUUAAAUAGUUUUAAAUAAGUUUUUUGUUGUCACAAUUAUAUGAAUAUAAUUACAAACUUAAUGAUAUAUUUUAAAUUUUAAUUUUAAUUUUAAAAUUAAAUCACAAGAGAAUUGUAAAAUUUUAACAAUAAUUUUAAAUUUUAAAUUUUACAAUUAAAUAAAAACAUAUAUUUAAAUAUUAAAAAACUCUAUAAACACAAUUUUAUAUUUAAAAAAACAUUAUAAUCUAACUAUUUUAAUAUUAGUAAUUCUAUUGACACAAUUUUAAAUUUUAGAGUUAACUUUUAAUUAAAUAUAUAAAAUAUUACGAUAAAUUUAUUUUACAUUUUUUGCCACCACAUUUAUUUUAGAUUUUGAAACUUUCAUCAAACAAUCGUGGAACAUGUUAAAAUUGUGCUAACUUAUUAAAAUAAUGUUUAUAAAUAGGAUAAUAUAUUUUAAGAUACUAUAUAACUCUAAUUGAAGUAAGCACACCUUUUCAAAUUAUUGCACGAGUUAAUUAAUUAUUAGUUAUUUUUAAAUCAAACUGAUAAAAAUAUUUUGAAAUAACUAUUCAAAGAAGAGAUUGAAAAUAUGAAACAUUUACAUCAUGGAUUAUUUGUUAAAAAUUUAAAAGUUUAGAUCAUUUUGAUGAAUAUAAAUAAUUAAUUCAAGUUUAUUUUAAAUAUUAACUUUUUUAUUCUUAAUUUAUAUUGAUCAUAAUGCCAACUUUCAUAAUUUUAAAAAGUAAACAUUUAGUGUUCAAAUUGAGUAAAACCCUAUAUGGUUUCAAAUAGACACCUUGUGCAUGGUAUGAAAGGCUAACUCAGUUCCUUAUUGCUCAAGGUUUUGAAAAGGGUUCUAUUAAUUUGAGAUCAGUAUAGUUGGUGAAUUGAGCUAUUUCCUUAGAUUCCAAAUUAAGUAACAAAAGAUGGAGCUUUUCUUAAGUGUAGUGAAAAAGUUUAAGUUGGAAAAUGCUAAACCGGCUAAGAAACUUGUGGUUAUUGGUGAGAAACUGUCUAAAGAUGAGAACGGAAUGCCUAGAAAGACCACUUAUAGAAGUAUGAUUGGUAGUCUCUUAUAUCUUACUACUAGUAGACCUAAUUUAUCAUUUAGUGUGAGAGUAUGUGCUAAAUACCAGGCAAGUCCAAGAGAGUCCCAUGUUAAAACUAUGAAGAGGAUUACUCGAAAUGCCCAUGAAACUACUAAUUUGGGAAUUUCAUUCUCAAAGGAUAACGCUAUGAGUCUAGUUGGUUAUAGUGAUGUUGACAGGCCAAGUAACAUUGAUGAUAGUAAGAGUACAUCAAGUGGUUGUUUCUAUAUUGGUUCAAACUUGGUGUCAUAGUAUAGUAAGAAGCAAGAUUCAAUUUCAUUGUCUACCGUAGAAGCUGAGUGGAUUACUACAAGGAAUUGUUGUGCUCAACUACCAUGGAUGAAGCAAAUGAUGAAGGAUUUUGGGGUUGAGUUGGAUAUGAAUCGUGACACCAAAUCAGUUAAUGACUUAAAUAAUAGUAAGUGAAGCUAGUAUAUAUAAGAAAAUAUGCAUUAAAAAUCACCGCAAGGGUUCAAUUAUGUCUCCAAUCUCUAUAUUGUUUAGAAUAUUAAAAUCUAAUACUUAUUUUUUAAAAUUUACAUGAUUUAAUCCUUUACUUAUCCAAUUUAUUUCUUUCUAGAAAAAAAUCUAAUUGGUAACACAAAUAAUAAACUUUCAUUAAAUUUUAAUACCUAGUAUUUUUAUAUUGAAAGGUCCAAUUAAAAAAUUAAAUUCCAAUUGAUAUCACAUAUUCAGAUUUAAUAGAAAUCAACCAACAAUGUUACCAAUUGAGCUUUUACUUUUUAAAUCAGCCAAGUGGAAGGACUAAAAUCUUGAAAUUGAAAGCAAAGAGAUUGAAUCUCAAAAUAUUAAAGAGUAGAGGGAUUGGAGAAGAAUUAAAGCAAUAUUUAUUUUUAAUUUUCAAUAUUAGCGUUCAAAAUGUCGUAAAAAAUGCAAGAAAAUCCUCAACUAUUUUUAUCAAAAAAAAAUCUCAACGUUUUGUAGGCGCGAGAAACACUGAUAGCCAAAUGUGUUUUGUAAAUUUUAUAAUUUUAAUGAAUUCUGGUGUAGUAUAAAUAACAAUAUGAUGGUGGUGUUCCAUGCAGAUCAAGCUCGAGUUCCACAAUUUGGAAUCGUAGCUUGUCUCUCCAAUCCUAUCAAGGUCCUGUUUGCAUCCAACUAGUUGUUUCCAGGACCUAGGCUUUGAUAGUUAAAAUAAAAACCACUAUGGGUUUUGCUGGUUAUAGUUAUAGUUGGUUUUUGUUGUCAUUUUUCGCCCUAAUCCCAACACUAAGAGCUCACAUCGCUGAAUAUGAUGAGUAUUGGAAAGCACGAGAAUUGGAAGCCAUUGAGAACCUGAACAAGGUUUAUCACCCCAAUCCGGAGGAGGUGGUCCGGCAUUACAAUGACCACUUUGUCAAUACCAUGCUUGAGUAUAAUAACACCAGAAGGGUGUU